UUUGAUGCUUUCACUAAAAAUCAGACUUGGGAACUUAUUCCUCCUGGCCUGACUAAAAACAUUGUAUCCUGCAAGUGACUUUUCAGGAUCAAGAGAAAUGUUGAUGGGUCCAUCGACAGAUACAAAUUGCACCUGGUUGCAAAAGGCUUUAUUCAAAUUUCGAGCAUUGAUUUUUAUGCAACAUUCAGCCAGUCAUCAAUCCCAUCAUAAUUUGCAUCAUCCUCUUUAUGACACUUCGUCACAACUGGACCUUCGCCAGCUUGAUGUCAAUAAUGUCUUCCUCCAAGCCAACCAAGAAGAGAAAGUGUACAUGGUACAACCACCGGGGUUUACUAGUGAUGAAAAACCCAACGCAUAUAUGUCAACUACGAAAGGACAUCUAUGGAUUGAAAUAGGCUCCUCGGGCAUGGUACAAUGACCUCACGGGUUAUCUUUCAUUCAUAGGCUUUGUUAAGAUGUUAUUGAAAGUCAAGAGGGGGGGUGAAUUAAAAUUCCUUUAGUCAACUUCCUGUAAUGGCCAAUCGAAUCACCUGCACGUUAGUAGAAUAGAUAAACAGUGAUAAUAAUUUGCAGUAAGUAAAUAACACAUAGAGUUUUUAUACUGGUUCGGAACACCGAUGUGGUGCCUAGUCCAGUCCCCUUGGGUUACAAAGGUUUCCUUAAGAGCUUUGAUGUGAGCUUUGGAAGUACAGCGUUUCUGCGAUUUGAUCUUGUCUGAUGUGCAAAUAAGAUUUCUACCUUGACACUACCUCUACUUGUAAACCUACACUCAGAUUCUUUCUUUUUCUUUUCGUUUCAAUUGUAUCACCCACGUGUUUACAAAGCUUUAUGAAAGAUAAAAGAAAGAUCAUCUAUAAGCUCAAGUGAAGUUUUGUGCUUCACACUAAAGUCUGGGGGUAGUUUAUAUAUGCAUAGACCCAUGCUCCUGUAAGGAAAACCCAAGGGAUAUUUAUCUCAAUCAAGGAUGAUUGAGAAAUUCCUUGAUUAAGGUGAUUUGCUAAUCCAUGUCCAGAUUAGAUAUGUGCAUAGUAAAUCGCUUUCUCUAUCCUUCUUGGCUAGGCUGUCUUGAUUCUUUCCUUGUAUAAUCAGUAGAUCUCUAGUCUUUGACUUGAUUCACGACUCUUCCCUUUCUUGAUAACUCGAUUCUAAUUGAGGCUUUGAUUUGCUAAUCUUCUUGAUUUCAUCUUGUCAAUCAAGGUGUGCUUGAUUGAGUUGUUUGUUGUAUUUGGACCAUAUGUAUAGUGAUUCUGAUUCCUUAGAUUAAGGCUUUCCUUUCUAUCAAUUUCUGUAAUGAUCAAUCAUAUAUUUCUUUCCAUCUUGAUGUUGUCUGCAAAGAUCAUUUCCUUUUUGAUUUCGUGGCCUACGAGAAUUGUGAGCAAUGGGUUAAAUGUCUAUUUUCAAAAUCAACUAAGUCUAAGGAAUUAACAAUCUCCCCCUUUUUGAUAAUGAAAACUUGUUCACAAUUUAAUAUGUAGUAUAGAGAGUCAAAGAUACUUCCCUGAUAGAAGUUGUAUGUGAGCUCUGUAGACUCUGUAGCUCCCCCUGCCUUUGAGACGCUAAAUGACAGUGUAGCUCCCCCUGUCUUAAGGAAAUUUUGGGAAGGCAAACUCUCUCCCCCUUUGGGAUAAUAAAAAAGAACACAGAACUGCACACUAGAUAUAAACGAGCAAAGAAAAGCAGAAAAUAGCAAAGCAGUUUAGAGGUCAGAGAGUCCUAAAUAAACACUCCAAAAAAAGAUAGGGACAGACCCAUAUUAAAAGUUAGUCCAAAAAUAGCAGUUAAAACACAUAUUUCCAAACGCAGGGGCUAACGAUCACCCAAAAAGUACUUGAGGGUGUUGAUAACCAUUCCACAGAGAGAGUUAUAGGAUCGUUCCACAUUGCGAGAGAGACUAGAGUACGAAGUCUAAACAGUAACUGCAAAAUCAUUGUUAAAGGAGCUGACUCCACUCUUAAGAGAGCCAACUUGUUUAAUCAACCUAUGGACAGUGGAGAUUCCUUCAUCUUUGAUCCCUGUUAUAGCAAUACGCAGCUUACCCACGUUAGUACUUGUAUCUUUCUGUAGACGAAAGACUUUUUCCACAACAUCGAGAAGAGUCUCUAAGCCACGUUCUACUGUUAAAAGCCGAGUCUUAAGUUCAUCAUUGUCUUGCAAUAGGAUAGCGGUUGAAUCUGCAAAAAAAAUUGUAUGUUUGAGGGUCUCAGCCCUCGCCUUGAAAGAGUCCUUUUUAACCCACUUAUCUUUAACCUGCACAUACCCCAUACUAGAAAAAGUACGAAAGUCAUAAGAAGCAUUAAUAACAAUGGGAGUAAACAUAGAGAGAUCCACCAGAAUACGCGAUAUAAGUAGGCCAUACGGCAGACUGGCAGAGGCAUUCGUAUCCUCAGCACUUUCCCACAUAUAUUCCUUGAACCAUACCACACAAUAUUUCCUAAGUAAGCAGUAGAGAAUAUACACAUCCCGAGUAGAUAUAUUACUCAAGGAACCUAUCCUGGAGAUGAGAGUGGUGGCAACAAUGUGCGCCAGUAUACGAUUUUUAAAACAAAGAGACAAUGGCCCAAAGCAAGAACUGUCAGAAUCCGGUUCAGCCACAGCUCUCUUUGCACCUUCUAGAGAGACUUCAAAGUCUUCAGGCAAAGUUCCGUUCAUAUAUGAAAUCACACCAGGAAAAUUUGUACCAAAUACAUCUUCAAAGAGCAAUUCAUUAACAAUAAUGCAAUUUCUCAAGACUAAAGUUUCUAACUCACCGCUGUCAGGAGAUAUGCGAAGAUUUGUAUAGAAGAGUCGAACAGCCUCUUCGAAAAGUUCAAGACCACUAAGAGUGAAAAGUGGGGAUAAUUUAUGAACUUUGAGAUAAGAGCUUACCGGGCAGUGAGAGUCCUUUAGCUGACUGAAGUUUACAGCACAGCCAGGAACAAUCGGACUAGUUUUGAAGUUGUCAUACCUGUGCUUCUGUUCGAUUCCUCAGAACCUUUGCAUGUCUACUGGAGAGAGAGAUCCCGACGCAAGAGGAUGAGGUUUCUUUGAAGCUUUCUGUUUUGAGGUAGAUAUUCUCUUCUUUGAUGAGACAGUCGGGGAAGCCAUUGAUCCUGUGGAAGAAUUACAGGAAAGGACAAGAUGUCCAUUUCGAAAGAGCUUGAAGGGGCAGAGGGUUUUUGAGAGGUCAUGGAGCGAGUUUUAGUCAUGGUAGGUUAAAGAAGGAAGAAGAGAAGAAGACAGAUAAACAGAAAAGAGAAGAGGGAGAAGAAAAGUCUUUGAAAUGAAGGGAGGGUACAUAAAAGAAAAGAAAAGACGGGAGAUAUAGGGAAACGGAGGAGGCGGUGGUAGAUCAUAAUUAAAAAAAAAACAAAAACAAGGAAAACACAUUAAACGCAUAAGGAAUAAAAAUUAAUUAAGGCAAAACACGGAAAAUACAUUGAACGCAUAAGGAAUAAAAAUUAAUUAAGGCACGUAAUACCAAGGCAAUUUCUAAGGAAACAAAAUAUCUCUUCAAGUAGCAUUUUUGUAAAAAUAUCAGCUAAUUGAUUUUCAGAAUCUACGAAUUUCGACGAAAAAUCAUCAUUUUCAACAUAAUCACGAAUAAAAUGAUGCUUGAUAUCAAUAUGUUUAGCCCUGGAAUGGUGCACAAUAUAUUUAGAGAGACUAAUAGCACUAGUAUUAUCACAAAAAAUCAGAACAACUUCAUAAGAGAGAUCAUAAUCAAGUAAUUGAUGCAUCAUCCAUAAGAGUUGAGUACCACAGCUUCCAACGGUUAGAUACUCAGAUUCAGUAGUAGAUAAAGCAAUCGAAGUUUUUUCUUGCUAUGCCAUGAGACUAUAGAUUGUCCCAAGAUUUGGCAUGUUCCACUUAUACUCUUUCGGUCAUUUUUGUCACCUGCAAAGUCAGCAUCUGAGUAGCCAAUUAAAUCAAAAUGAGUUGAGUGAGGGUACCAUAGUCCUAAUUCAGUGGUGUCAAUCAAGUAGCGAAUAAUUCGCUUUACUGCAGUAAGAUGAGAUUUCUUCGGGGAAAUUUGAAAUCUUGCGCACUUGCAUACGUUGUACAUAAUGUCUGGUCUAUACAUUUUUUCAUCCACAUCUUUCGCGGGUGCAUCUGUUUCAAGGCACGUGGAGGGACUCAUGGGGAUGCCAAAAGCUUUUCCUUUUUCGAGUCCAAACAUCCUUAUUAGCUCCUUUGUGUACUUGGUUUGACUAAUGAAAGUUCCAUUUGUUGACUGUUUGAUUUGAAGUCUGAGGAAGAAUGUGAGUUCUCCCAUUAGACUCAUUUCGAAUUCACCUUUCAUCAGAUUUCUAAAAUUCUCACACAAAGAAGGACUAGAACUUCCAAAAAUAAUAUCAUCAACAUAAAUUUGAACUAUAAGGAUAUACAAGCCAGAUCUUUGAAUGAAAAGAUUUGUGUCAAUUUUUCCCCUUUGGAAAUUAUUUUGAAGUAAAAACAUACUCAAUCUCUCAUACUAGGUUUUUGGAGCUUGUUUGAGACCAUAAAGAGCUUUGGACAACUUAUAAACAAAAUCAGGACAAGAAGGAUUUUCAAAACCGGGGCGUUGUUUGACAAAGACAUCCUCUUUUAUGAAACCGUUUAAAAAGGCACUUCUUUCAUCCAUUUGAAAGAGUUUAAAGCAUUUAAAGGAUGCAUAAGCGAGCAAAAUUCUAAUAGAUUCUAACCUUGACACCGGAGUAAAAGUUUCAUCGUAAUCAAAACCUUCUUGUUGUGAGUAGACUUGAGCAACUAAUCUUGCUUUGUUGUGAGUAAAUUUUCCAUGUUCAUCAAGUUUGUUUCGAAACACCCACUUGGUUCUGAUUACUGAACAAUUUUAGGGUCUUUCGAUAAGAGUCAACACUUGAUUUCUUUCAAAUUGAUCAAGUUCUUCUUUCAUUGCUUGUACCCAUGACUCGUCUUCCAUAGCUUCAUUUAUUCGUUUGGGUUCCAUUUGAGAUAUAAGUGCCACAGAAGCUUUUUUUUUAGGGAAGACCGUGUCUGGAUUUUGUCAUCUGGUUUCCGAGAAUGAAAUUUUCAGGAUAGCUAGCAUUGUGUCUCCAGUCUCUUGGAAUGUUGGCUUUGUCGGCUGGAGUAGUCGACUCCACCUCUGCAGUAGUUGACUCUUAAGUAUUAAUUUCAGUGUUGAUGAUUGUUGUAUCUUCAACUGGUUUGAGAGAAGUAAUUUCAUCGUCACCGACUUCAACUUCAUGUACUCUUGGAUUAGUGUCAUCAAAUAGCACAUGUACAGAUUCUUCAACACUUUAUAAAGUUCUUUUAUUAAAAACAUGAAAGGCCUUAGGAGCAUAGCCUAAAAAGAUACCUUCGUCGCUUCUUGGAUCGAACUUACCGAGAUUAUUCUUACCGUUAUUGUGGAUGAAACACUUGCACUCAAAGGGAUGAAAAUAACUUAUAUUUGGUUUCUUACCUCUCCACAGUUCAUAGGGAGUCUUCUUUAAAAUAUGUCUAAUUAGACACCUGUUAAGAAUAUGACAAGCAGUGCUUACAGCUUCUACCCAAAAAUGGUCAGGUAGACUUCUAUCGAGAAGCAUUGUUCUUGUUGUAUCUUAUAGUGAGCGGUUUUUCCUUUCUACUACUCCGUUUUGUUGAGGAGAUCUGGAUAAAGAGAAAUUUUGAGUAAAGCCGUUUAGAGCACAGAAUUCUUCAAAAGUCUUAUUCUCAAAUUCUCCACCAUGAUCACUAUGAAUAGUUGUAAUGAAAUACCCUACCUCUAGUUGAACUCUUCUACAAAAUGCUUCUAAGUUAGCAAAAGCUUCAUUUUUAUGAGUUAAAAAUAUUACCCAUGUAAACCUUGAGAAGUCGUCAACAAUUACGAAAGCAUAUCUUUUACCUCCAAUGCUUGCAGUUCGAGUAGGACCAAAUAGGUCUAUAUAAAUAAGUUGAAGGGGUUUAGAUGUACUUACAAUAUCUUUUCCUUUGAAGAAUGAACGAGUCUGCUUAACCAUUUGACAUGCAUCACAAAUAUGAUCUUUCUAAAACUUUAGUUUUGGCAGACCAAUGACUAGUUCAAGUCUAGAACGUUUUUCAAGAGCAUGCAUACUUGCGUGUCCAAGCUUUUGAUGCCAUAGCCAAGGAUCGCUUGAGACUGCAGUAAUACAAGUGAGAGAUGGAAAAUCAACAUUAUUUAAAACAUAUAUAUUAUUAACUCGAUCUCCAAUAAGAGUUAGCUUUUUCUCAAGAUGUUUGAUGAUACAGUUGGCUGUGUUGAAAGUGACUUGAAAUCCAGCAUCACAUAGUUGACUAAUGUUGAGGAGGUUAUGCUUGAGUCCCUCAACCAGAUACACUUCGACUAGGUCACAUGAUGAACUAAGUGUAAUGGUUCCAACUCUGGUUACUUCCCCUUUAGCAUUGUCUCCAAACCUGACACAUCCUCCAUCUAUUCUUUUUAUAGUUUUGAAGUUUUCUUUCUUUCCGCACAUAUGUCUGGAGCAUCCACUGUUAAGUGCCCACAUUCCCUUUUUGUAGGUUUUCUUGGAUUUCUCCUUCAAGACAGUAAGAUUAGUUUCUUUUAGGUACCCAAGUAUUUUUGGGUCCUUGAUGAUUAGUAACUUUCGGUCUACAAAUCCAUUUUCUAGAAGAAUAUUUUCUACAUUUAAAAUAUUUUUGACCAAGUUUACCGCAAGUGAAACAAGUAAUUUUAGUAGAAUUUUCAGGAGAAUAGGAAUUAGAAAUAGAUCUAUUUGAUCUGUUAGAACUAUGAUUCGAAGGGUUUUUUCUAUGAAGCGUAGUUCUGUUAGAUCGGACAGAACUAUGACUUAGAGAUUUUCAGAUGUCGUUCAACUGCAUUUUGACUUCCUCUAGUUCUUCAAUAAGUAAGUCGACUUCAAUUUGACUUGCUUCGAGAAGAAUCUGCCAAUCUUUCUUUUCUUGAGCAAUUUUAUUGUAUUCGUCAAUAACCUUUUGUAGUUCAUCAGCAACCAUGUCCAAAGAAUUUUGUAAGUCAUUACAGUUAAGACAAUUAAAAGAUCUUACCUCACUUGUUUCACCUUGUGCCAUGAAACAUAGAUUUGGCAUUUCAUCAUGGUUAUCGUCAGUUGUUUCACCUUUAUCCCAUGCUCCAAGACUCUUAGGAUCUUCGUUUCUUCGAUUGUUUCUUUUUCUCCAUUCUGGGCAAUUUUAUUUUUUGUGUCCUGGUUUUCCGUAGUAGCAAUAGUGAUCAUCAUUCCUUUUGAAAUCAUUGUUCUUGAAGUCCUAUUGAGGUCUCUAUCUUCUAUAUUUAAGUAUUUGUCUUACUCCUCGAUUGAUAAGAGCCAGUCCUUCAUCUUGAUCUUCAUCAGCUUCUUCUCCAAUUUUAGAUGUUUCAGUUGUAAAUACCACAGUCUCCUUUUUAUCAUCCUUGUUGUACCUAUUAAUAUGAUUUUGUUCAUAGGCCAUUAAGUUGCCUCGAAGUUUAUCGUAUGUCAUUUUCUGCAGAUCUCCAUCUUCAAGAAUGACAGCUUUAGUUUCCCAAGCCUUGGGAAGACUUCUAAUGAGUAACCUGACUUGUAGUGCAUUUGAAUACACCAUUCGAAGUGAUUUGAGUUCGCAGACAAUUUUACUGAAUCUCGAGAACAUAGAUUCAACGUUUCCAUCUUUGGUCAUUUAUAACAACUCAUAUUCAUAUACAAGUGAACUGAUCCGAGCUUCUUUUACUUUAGUGGUUCCUUCAUACGUCACUUCUAUUUUGUCCCACAAUUCUUUCGCAGUUUCAUAUGUUGAUGGUUUGUCAUAUUCGGAUCCACUCACUGCACAAUAUAACAAACUUAUAGCUAUAGCAUUAAUUUGAAUUACCUCUUGUUGUUUCUUAGUGAUAUCAAAUGAUUCAGGAUCAAAUGGCUUUUCAGUGCCAUCUUUUUCAGUCAACCUAGGAAUUGGUUUUGGGCCCUUCUUGAUUACUAUCUAUGCUUGAUCAUCAUUUGAAGAGACAAAGAUUCUAAAUCUGUCUAUCCAAUGAGAGUAAUGUUGUCCAUUGAAGUAUGGUGGUCGGUGUGAAGAAUAUACAUCUUGAAGUAAAGCUCCAGAGAUCUGAUAGUAUGCCAUUGGAUCUUUGCUCACGUGUGGUUAAACACUGAAAUAGUGAGACCUUCUCUUAUACCAAUUGAAAGUCAAGAGGGGGGGAUGAAUUAAAAUUCCUUUAGUUGACUCACCUGCACGUUAGUAGAAUAGAUAAAUAGUGAUAAUAAUUUGCAGUAAGUAAAUAACACAGAGAGUUUUUAUACUGGUUCGAAUCACCGAUGUGGUGCCUAGUCCAGUCCCCUUGGGUUACAAGGGUUUCCUUAAGAGCUUUGAAGUGAGCUUACAAAAUUUGAUACGCUCAAAUUACACCUCUUUUCAAAAGCAUAAGUGAUCGUUAUCACGUAAAGAACCCAACUUGUAGAUUGGGGUCGAUCCCACAAAGAAUAUGGUUUAGACAUAAGUUCAAUAACGAUUAUAUUCGUUUAGCUAAUGUAUUUCCGAGACAAAUAAGAAAAAGGGGGAGGGGGGGGAUUUGUGUAACAAAAUUUGGAAAUUAUGAAAGUAAUUAGUACGAAAGAUUCAAACUUUUGUUGUUAUCAAAUUGAGAAGGAAACUAGGGCGUACGUGUUCCCCAUAAGCUCAUAACUCCGUAAUACUAGUAAAAGCAAUCCCUUCCUAGUAUAUUACAGCAAAGACAUAAGUUUUGUAUCUCUAAAUCUUUGGUCCGACAUCUAGAGAAUUUCACCUCAUACCUUGGUCCGGCUACGUGUGUAUAAUUUACUAACCCUUACCAUUACCUCAUAUUAGACGUCACAUCGAUGUAUGACUUAGUUUUCACCCUCGCACCAAUCGACAUUAAUUAUAUUAGAUAGUAUCACACUAAAUCUAAGUUGAUAAUUCUUUUCUUAUUAACUACAUCCUUGGUCUGGCAAGUAGCAACAAGGCGAGUUCUAACGUUGCGCAUCGUUAAAAAGACUUCUAGACGAAAGAAUUAUCAAUGCAUACAAAACACUAUUCGGGAAUUACUUAGUUACUAUUCAUACUUCGUUAAUCGCUCAUGGUUCCCACAACCCUAGUUGUGGAUUUAGUUACCCAUAUUAGCAAGAAAAUAAUUCAUAAUGUUUGAAGAAUAAAUCAUGAACUUAUGUAGUAGAGUAGAAUAAUCCUAGAAUUUCAACUUGAAUUUCGAAGUAAAAAUCACCAAAACGUGCUUAGGAAAUUAAGAAUUGCUAAAGUUUCAAGUUAAUCUCCCAAGACAAAAACUAGAACAAAAAUAAUAAUGUCUCACCUCCAAAAACGAGGUUUACAUCCCAUAUAUAUAGAAAAAUAAGCCCUAACUAAAAAGGAAACGAAAUAAGGAAAUAAAGUUGCAGGACGCGUAUUCAUUCUACGAGACUACCCUACGGUCCGUAAGUCCCUUCCGUGGCUCAGGACUUAGGCAAUUUUCUUUCUUCAAAAUCUGCAAAAUCUCUAUCGUAAUCGACGAUUCAACAGUACGGACCGUAAGUCUAUCUACGGUCCGUAACUCUUCUGCGUAACGCCACACUUAGAUUUUUUCAGCAUCAGGUACUGGAACCAAUCUCUGAAUGAUUUGAUAGAGCAACAGUACGGUCCGUAGAUCAAUCUACGGUUCGUAAGUCACAACCGUGGUUCCACACUUGGUCAAGAAUUCCCUGAUCUUCAAUAAUGCCUUUCCUGCCCUUCUACGACUAUCAUCUACUGGGCCGUAACUGGACCUACAGUCCGUAAGUUGCCUCUGUAGAUGCCCUUUUCUGCACUUCUUUCAGUUGUGUCUUCAAGUUUCCGCGCCUGAACCUAUUCCCUACAAACAUGAGAAAAACACAUAUAAACUGAUACAAAAUACCCUAAACACACACAACUCUCAAGUGAAAUGUAUCAAAAAUAUCGUAAACUCACGGUACAUCAACACCCUCAACUUAAAAUCGUUGUUUGUCCUCAAGCGACGCACUAAGACUCUAAACGACACUUGUAUAGAAGCAAGCAAUAACAUGGCUCUCUAUCCCAACUCUCUUUUCGGGUGCAAAAUUUUUUCUCUUAGACUCAACAAGCUAAUUUGUGCUUAUCAAAAUAUGACACAGAUCGACCAAUCAACUACAUACACUGUUCUACUAUCACCAAGGUACCAACUUUCCAACAAUGUCACCAGUGUCCUUACUUCAAACGAAAUCCAUUUUUUCACACAAUAAAUAUGAUUUUAAGUACAAGGAUUCAUUCAACACUCACGCUCAGAAGUAACUUCAAUUACAAGUAGUGCUCAAUACCAUAGGCUUGCCCUUAUUUUCACUGCUUAGACUCUCCAACUAGGUUCUAGGAUCACUAUAGGACUUUCUUGGCUUGUAACAUAGGCUCAGGGUCAGGUGUGGUACAUUUGGGUACUUUUUUCCCUCCUUGACAUUACAUUAGGCUUUUCUACCUCGUUUUGUCCUAUUUUUGACAUCCUACCUUUUUCUACUCUUUCCUUAGAUUCUUUCCAAUCAUUGAUGUGACUUUCGACUUUGUAGCUCUUUUAUUUUUCACUUUUCUUCUUUUUCUUGCUUUUUCUUCUUUUCUUUAGUUUUGCUCACUUUCUUUCGCACAAAGUCACAUCUUUUCUUUUUCUUUUUCAACACCAAACUCUUUUCAUAGCCAUUUUUCUUUAGAUUUCCCCUUUCAUAACCACCCUCAGCUUAAGGAAUUUCUGUUAGUUGAGGUACACAAUACCCGAUGUCGGAUCAGGGCCAAGAUUGAGGUCAAUUUUUGCAUUAGCCACCCUCAACUUAGGCUUUUGGCCUAAGUUGAGGUGUACAUGUCCAAGGAGGGACAGAGGCCAAGACAAUAGAUUAUGGGAAGAUGAGUUACGAGUUGCUUAAGAAAUGGUCUCUUUUAGGCUCAAAGCAUUUGGAUCAACGGGAGCAUUCAUUUUCAUUUGGUUGGAUUCUUUUAGGCAUUUAGUGGACUAUUCAGAACAAUGGCUUAUGAUCACUUCCUAGCCUCUAGAGUAGAUUAUCUUCGCAGGACUAACCGGGCAAGUUCUAGAUUGGCACCACUUCUUUGAACAGCCAACGAUUCUCGCACACUCUUAGCACACAUUUCCAUUAUCAAAUUACGCAGUUCAAGUUUUUAGCUUAAGUCAUGAAAUCAAAUUUUUCAUUAUCAUGUCAUACUCAAAGCCAACACAUUCAACUUAUUCUAGUCUACAGCUUUUAGCACACAUUUCAAUAUCAUUGAACGGGUAUCAUUUUUUUCAACAAGCUCAUGCCAUCAUGCUUAUGUUAUCAUUCCUUCUCAUGCUUCUACACAUACAAUCCUAAACUUGCCGGUUCAACAAAAAUUAAGCAGUCUCUUGGGGAAAAAUAACAGAGGCAAGAAAACCCCAAGAGAGAAUUUUGAGUUGGGUUACUUAGAUUUCACCCUAUCACUCACAAUCAAUUUACCCCACCCCCAACAAAAAUAGGUGCAAUUGUCCCCAAUGCAGACAUAAAUCAGUAAAAAUUAAUGGAUUUGGGUGAAGCAAACCUGUGGCGCUUAGCGUCGAAGAAUCAUCAACAAAUGGGUGGGUCCGGUUUCCCAGAUUUCGCUACAGCAACAGUGGGGUCACCCUCAGUACUGCCCGUAUCUUUGGUCACAGCACCCUUACACUGGGGGUCAGUCUCACCGCACCCCAGUGGUGCUCACAUCAUCCGCCACAAGGGUUUUUAAAUUAGAGGUCGUCCGGGUCGAGUCGAUCAAGCUAGGGUUGGACCUACGAGACACUCUUACAGUCCAUAGAUCGAUCGACAGUCCAUAGAUAGGGACCGUAGAUCACCUUCACACUUUGUAAAAUUUCACACUUACCUAGGAUCUACGAACGCCAUUUACGGUCCGUAGAAUGAACUACGAACCGUCGAUGGGGUCCGUAAACCUCUGCACCAGACCAUUUUUCUGCAGAUUUUUGCCUUGCGCACCUGCACACGUAGCAACCAUUAGGCCAUUCUUUUUACAUUUUUCUGGACACUUUUUUAGACACGAACCCUAUGUUAUAUCUAGCCAACACUAACCAAGAAAUUAAAGCACCUAUCUAAUUGAGUACAAAGACGUAAUUAACCAAAGAAUCUACUAGACGCAAAACAAAACAUAUAGUUGGCUAGAUUGUACAUCUUAGGUUGCCUCCCAAGCAGCGCUUGAUUUAACGUCGCUGCACGACGCAUGUCCCUUGAUUACUCAAACUUCAUCAAGCUGUCAUGCCUCUAUCACUGUAUUUACACUCUCAUUUCCCAUGUAGAUUUUUAUCCUUCGUUGGUCGGCUUUGAACCUUGUCCCAUUCCUUUUCUCGAGCUCAACCACUCCAUGUGGGGACACUUGGGUGACUUUGAAUGGUCCAAUCCAUUGGGACUUAGAUCUUCUCGAAAAACAGCACAACCUUGAUUUAUACAACAACAUCAGAUUACAAGGAGCUAGUUUGCGCUUUUCUGUCUUUUGAGCAUGGUGUUUCUUUUCCGUAUACAAGGCUACACCUAACUUCUCCUUACUAAACACUUCAGCACCUCUUCCGAAAGUGUGACUCACCACCGAUACCGAUUUAAGAUGCAAUCAUAGACUUACAGACGUUAAAGGUCACCUCCUCCUUAUUUAGUUGAAACUUCAUCUGCCAUCUCUAUAUCGACUAAGGCACGCCCAGUAGCAAGGAAUGGUCUCCCCAAGAUGAUGGGGACCUCAAAGUCAGCUUCGCAAUUAAGUAUAACAAAGUCUGCCGGAAAAAUGAAUGGCCCCACUUUCACAGCACUCCAAUGGGAUUCUUCACAGUUCUAUCAGCCAUAAGUAAACGCAUCGCAGUUGGUUUUGGAGCUCUUAAACCCAACUUCUUAUAAAUAGACAAUGGCAUCAAGUUAAUGCUUGCACCCAAAUCACACAAAGCUUUUGCAAAGUGCAUCUUACCGAUGGUGCAUGGAAUAGUGAAAGCUCCAAGAUCAUUUUUCUUUUAUACCAGUGACCUCGUAGAAAUGGCACAACAAUGUUGCAACCUCUCACCAUUCUCAAAACUGACAGCCCUCUUUUUGGUCACCAAGUCCUUCAUGAACUUUGCAUACCCAGGCAUUUGCUCCAAAGCUUCUAUCAAAGGGACAUUGAUGGAAAGUUGUUUCAACAUAGUUAUGAACCUACGGUACUUUCCUUCUUCAUCCUUCUGCACUAACCUCUGUGGGAAAGGAUGUGGAGGUCUAGGCAUGGGGACGACCUUUUGGGUUUUCUCCGCUUCUUUCUGUGUAGCAUUCUUAGACUCUCCAGUCACCUCAGUCUCAUCAUCACCUUUUUCUACCACUUCAAUAUUCUUCUUUCCUCCGUGAGUCGUGAUUGCCAUAUAAUGCCCACCAUUCUUCGGAUUCUGGAUGGUGUUGCUGGGCAAUGUGCCCGACUGGCGUGCAUUCAUGGUAGCAGACAACUAACUAAACUGCUGCUCAAGCUACUUUAUCGACACUGCAUGGGCAUCAACUUUAUGGCCAAUUUCGAACAACUUAAUUCGCAUCUCCUUCAAAUUCUCAUCAGUCGCGUCAAACCUCCUCAUCAUUUUCUGCAUCAUAUCCUCAAUACGUGACAUAUUACCUCCAGCUUCCCUAGGAGCAGAAUCCCAAUUUUGAGGAGGAACAUAAGGUCCAACCCGAUCGUUUCUGUUGCCAUAGUUGUUCCAGUUGUAAUUUUUGUCGCGAUUGUAGUUCCCAUCCCGGACAUAUUAACCAUCGUGGUUGUAAUUUCCAUAGUUCUGACCUUGGUUUCCUUUACCUUGGCGCCAAUUAUCCGUGUUGGAACCUUGGGCGUUUGGUCAGAAACCCCUCGUCUACUCAUUCACCGCAUAAGCAUCCUCUUCAAAAUAAUACUCCUCUGUUGGUGGUGGAGUUCUGGUCAAAUAGUUCACAGCAUUUACCUUUUUCGCUCCUCCAGUCACAUGCUUUAACACCAACCCUAGUUCAGUUCUCAUUUGUGACAUCUCCUCGCGAAUCUCAUCUGCGGGCUGGUUGUUUGUAGCUUGAACGGCAAAUAUGCUCCUCCCAGUGUCUGACUUUCUAGUGCUCCAAGCUUUAUUAUUUCGAGAUAUCUUCUCCAUUUUCUCUGUAAUUUGUGCAAAAGUGCAUUCACCGUACGAACCUCCCGCAAUAGUAUCGAGAACUGCCUUACCAUUACCAUCCUGUCCUCGGUAGAAGUACUCCUUCAGCGACUCAUCAUCAAUACGGUAAUUCAGUACACCCCUCAUGAAGGUGCAUUCACCGUACGAACCUCCCGCAAUAGUAUCGAGAACUGCCUUACCAUUACCAUCCUGUCCUCGGUAGAAGUACUCCUUCAGCGACUCAUCAUCAAUACGGUAAUUCAGUACACCCCUCAUGAAGGCAGUGAACAUAUCCCAAGAACUACUCACAGACUCUCCAGGUAAUGCUACAAAGUUGUUGAGUUUAUCCUACUUGUUCAACUUCUUGGACACUGGAAAGAAUCUUGCUAAAAACGCCUCUGUCAACUGCUCUCAUGUAUGGAUUGAGUUAUAAGGGAGUUCAUUGAACCACACAACAGCAUCUCCGGUCAAUGAAUGGGGGAACACACACAACCCAAUGACGUUCAUAUCCCAAUCCAAUCGACCUAUACAACUUUUGCAGACAUGAUUAAGUUUGGCUAUGUGAGCAUGUGGAUCAUCCGUUGGCAACCCCGCAAACAAACCCCUCGUUGUAAGCUUUGCAUCAAGCUACUGGUCACCACAAAUGUAUGCCCCUGAGGUAGAGGUGGUAGGACAAGAGGUCCAUCAGAAUCGACAAUAUUAAGGUUGACCUUGAAAUUUUCAUGCAGACGUGGUCCUUGUGGUUCUUGUGCCCUCAGUGUAUCUCCCAAUCUAUUCUCAAUUGGAGCCUGAUUAUUCGCAUAAACUACCCUUGGAGGUUGCAAUCCAACACUUUCACCUAACUCUCCCCCGAUAGGGUUAACCGGAACUCCCUGAUCAUUCAUUCUCCGCAAAGUUCUAUUCAGUUCGGGAUCGUAGGGAGUAAAUGGUUCGCCUUGGCUCCGUGUACUGGGCAUACACUAGAGUAAGACCCUGAGAGAGACAAAAACAAAAGAAAAAGUAAAAUUAUGAAAUAUUUGACUAAAGUUCAAUAAUGCAAUUAAACUUAAUCUAAAAGCCUUAAUCCCCGGCAGUGGCGCCAAAAUUUGAUACGCUCAAAUUACACCUUUUUCAGGAGCAUAAGCGAUCAUUAUCACGUGAAGAACCAACUUGUAGGUUGGGGUCGAUCCCACGAGGAAUAUGGUUUAGACUUAAAUUCAAUAACGAUUAUAUUCGUUUAGCCAAUGUAUAUCCGAGACAAAUAAGAAAAAGAAGGGGGGGUUUGUGUAACAAAUUUUGGAAAUUAUGAAAGUAAUUAGCAAGCAAGAUUCAAACUUUUGUUGUUAUCAAAUUGUGAAGGAAACUAGGGCGUACGUGUUCCCCAUAAGUUCAUAAUUCCGUAAUCCUAGUAAUAGCAAUCCCUUCCUAGUGUAUCACAUGCAAAGCGAUAAGUUAUGUAUCUCUAAAUACUUGGUCCGGCAUCUAGAGAAUUUCACCCUGCACCUUGGUCCAUCUAUGUUUGUAUAAUUUACUAACCCUUACCAUUACCUCAUAUUAGACGUCACAUCGAUGUAUGGCUUAGUUUUCACCCUCGCACCAAUCGACAUUAAUUCUAUUAGAUAGUAUCACACUAAAUCGAAGUUGAUAAUUCUUUUCUUAUUAACUACAUCCUUGGUCUGGCAAGUAGCAACAAGGCGAGUUCUAACGUUACGCACCGUUAAAAAGACUUCUAGACGAAAGAAUUAUCAAUGCAUACAAAAACACUAUUCGGGAAUUACUUAGUUACUAUUCAUACUUCGUUAAUCGCUCAUGGUUCCCACAACCCUAGUUGUGGAUUUAGUUACCCAUAUUAGCAAGAAAAUAAUUCAUAAUGUUUGAAGAAUAAAUCAUGAACUUACGUAGUAGAGUAGAAUAAUCCUAGAAUUUCAACUUGAAUUUUGAAGUAAAAAUCACCAAAACGUGCUUAGGAAAUUAAGAAUUGCUAAAGUUGCAAGUUAAUCUCCCAAGACAAAAACUAGAACAAAGAUAAUAAUGUCUCACCUCCAAAAACGAGGUUUACAUCCCCCCUAUAUAUAGAAAAAUAAGUCCUAACUAAAAAGGAAACGAAAUAAGGAAAUAAAGUUGCAGGACGCGUCUUCAUUCUACGAGAUUGACCUACGGUCCGUAAGUCGAGCUACGGUCCGUAGGUCCCUUCUGUGGCUCAGGACUUAGGCAAUUUUUCUUUCUUCAAAAUCUGCAAAAUCUCUGUCGUAAUCGAUGAUUCAACAGUAUGGACCGUAAGUCUAUCUACGGUCCGUAACUCUUCUGCGUAACGCCACACUUAGAUUUUUUCACCAUCAGGUACUGGAACCAAUCUCUAAAUGAUUUGACAGAGCAACAGUACGGUCCAUAGAUCAAUCUACGGUCCGUAAGUCACAACUGUGGUUCCACACUUGGUCAAGAAUUCCCUGAUCUUCAGUAAUGCCUUUCCUACCCUUCUACAACUAUCAUCUACGGUCCGUAAGUUACCUCCGUAGAUGCCCUUUUCUGCAUUUCUUUCAGUUGUGUCUUCAAGUUUCUGCGCCUGAACCUAUUCCCUGCAAACAUGAGAAAAACACAUAUAAACUAAUACAAACUAGCCCUAGACACACACAACUCUCAAGUGAAAUGUAUCAAAAAUAUCGUAAACUCACGGUACAUCAGUAGUACAGCAUUUCUGCGAUUUGAUCAUGUCUGAUGUGCAAAUCAGAUUUCGACCUUAACACUACCUCAACUUGUAAACCUACACUCAGAUUCUUUCUUUUUCUUUUCUUUUCAAUUGUAUUACUCACGUGUUUACAAAGCUUUAUUAAAGAUAAAAGAAAGUUGUUCUAUAAGCUCAAGUGAAGUUGUGUGCUUCACACUAAAGUAUGGGGGUAGUUUAUAUAUGCAUAGACUCGUGCUCUUGUAAGGAAAACCCAAGGGGUAUUUAUCUCAAUCAAGGAUGAUUGAGAAAUUCCUUGAUGGAGGCGAUUUACUGAUCCAUGUCCAUAUUAGAUAUGUGCAUGGUAAAUCGCUUUCUCUAUCCUUCUUGGCUAGGCUGGCUUGAUUCUUUCCUUGUAUGAUCAGCAGAUCUCUAGUCUUUGACUUGAUUCACGACUCUUCCCUUUCUUGAUAACUCGAUUCUAUUUGAGGCUUUGAUUUGCUAAUCUUCUUGAUUUCGUCUUGUCAAUCAAGGUGCGCUUGAUUGAGUUAUUUGUUGGAUUUGGACUAUCUGUAUAGUGAUUAUGAUUCCUUAGAUUGAGGCUUUCCUUUCUAUCAAUUUCUAUAAUGAUCAAUCAUAUAUUUCUUUCCAUCUUGAUGUUGUCUGCACAGAUCAUUUCCUUUUUGAUUUCGUGGCCUGCGAGAAUUGUGAGCAAUGUGUUAAAUGUCUAUUUUCAAAAUCAACUAAUUCUAAGGAGUUAAUAGUUAUAUGAUGCCUCACUACUUGCUAGACAUGGUGAAGGUGACACCUUGUUUAUCCUAUCCUAUGUAGACGAUAUUAUUAUCGAUGGGAGCAAUAAUUUAGGUGUCAAUUAGGUUAUUACUUUCUUUGCUUCUAAGUUCUCUAUUAAAGAUUUAGGUAAUCUUCACUACUUUCUUGGUGUUGAAGUGAUACGCUGCUCUAACGGUUUAAUUCUCACUAAAGUAAAUUAUAUGAAUGAAAUUUUAAAUGAUUAACUAAUGACCGACUGCAAGAGUGUUAACAUGUCAAUGAGUGCAUCUGAUUUACUCACCUUGUCUGAUGGAACUUACUUGACUAAUAUUGCACGUUAUUGCUGAGUCUUGGGUAGGCUUCAAUACCUAUCUUUCAUUAGAACAGAUAUAGCCUAUGAAGUGAAAAAGUUGUCUCAAUUCAUGCAAGCACCAUCAGACCUUCAUUGGAAGGCUAUAAAAUGUGUUCUUUGAUACUUGUGUGGUACCAUUCAACUCGUCCUACGUGUUACUCCCAUUGAUGAAUUCAAUCUAUAUGUGUACUCUGAUGCAGAUUGGGGUGGGGGCAUCGUUGAUAGAGUUUCUACAUCUAGUUAAAUCUUGUUUCUUGGUCACAAUCUGAUAAGUUGGUCCGUAAAGAAGCAAAAUACUAUCUCACACUCCUCCACCAGGUCUGAAUAUAUGGCAGUGGCUAAUGCACUUUCUGAAACCUCAUGGGUCACCUAUCUCCUAAAUGUGCUGCAAUUUCGAGUACAUCACUUACCCAAAAUUUAUUGUGACAAUCUUGGAGCCACAUUCUUGAGCAAGAAUCACGUCCUCCAUAGUUGUGUGAAGCAUGUUGCCGUGGACUUUCACUUUGUUUGCCUCCAUGUUAACAUCAAAAGGGUUCGUGUAGUUCAUGUUCAUGGUGCCAAUCAAAUAGUUGACACUCUCACCAAAGCACUGCCUAAAUCUUCUUUUGAGACUAAUAUGUUCAAGUUAGGUUUGGUAACUCAUCGCCUAACUUGAGGGGGCGUAUUAGAACAUCACGAGUUAGUUCAGACAUCAGUUAGUAGUUUAGUCGUAUUAGGAUACUGCAUUAGUUAGUUCAACAGUUAUUAUUUAUUUAGAUUACUUUUGACUCAGUUCGUUUAGAAGUCGUAUUAUUUUUCCUAUAACUCUAUUUAAUACCCAGCUACCUUCAUUAAUAAAAUGUACUAUUCAAGCACAUAUUCAGUCUUUAUAAUUACUAGAUUUGCCCGGUGGCAUGGACUGUCUACAGGUGCAUUUUCUCACAGUAUGGUGAUGUGGAGGAUACCAUAAAAGUUCCAGGGAUGUCUAUUGAUCCUAAGAUUAAGGACUCUAUCACAUAUUAUUUUGGAUAUAAUCCAAACUUCAUGGGACUAGUUGUCAUUGUAUUGGUCAGUUUUGCAGUCUUUUUUGCAUUCAUGUAUUCCUACAGCAUUAAGACACUGAACUUCCAGAGGAGGUAGAAAUAUCUUAAUAGUUACAGACUUACGGUGAUUUGUAAUUAUUAGAGUAAAUAUCUCAAAAGGUCACUCAAGUAUGUGAAAUUAUUUGAAAAAGUCAUUCAACUUAGUUUUAUAUCAACAAAGUCAUUCAACUUAUGUAUUUUCUUUUAUAAAGUCACUCAAGUUAAACUAUUUUUUCUACAAAAUCAUUAUACCCAAAAGAUAAAAGAAAUAAUUGCACAAAUCACCCUUCAAGUUUAGUUUUUAAUAUUUACUUCCAUUGUAAUUUAUAAUAUUAUGUUUAUCUCUCUUAUUUAUUUAUUUAUUUUUAAAUAAUAAUUGUCCUAACUUAAUAAUAGGGAUAUAUUAAUAUCAUUAAUUUUAUUUAUGAUAUUUUAUAUUUAAAUAUUAAAAUUAUAGAACAGGAGUGUUUGAUUAGCCUAUAAACAGUAAUCUUACAAAAUAUUUUUCAUUUAAAUUAAUGUUUUCUUUUAUUUAAAAAAAGAAUAAUUUUUGUAGAUAUUUUCACCAUUGUAAUUAAUGCAUUUUCUAUUUUUCAUUCUUAUUAUACGAUUCUAGCAACAGUAAUAAUUCUUUCUUUUAUUUUUUAAAUUUCUCCUCAUAAUACUUUAAAAAUAAAUUUACAAGCAGAUUAAAUAAUGUGCAAUAUUAAUAUUUGAAUAUAAAAAUAUAAAAUGAAAUCAAUGAAUUCGAAGAUUUGUAGGGAUUAUCUUUCUUACCGAACUUAAGAAAUUAUUUGAUCAAAACUUAUUCACUAAAUUAUGAUUGUGAUAUUGGUUAAUAUGAUAUAAUCUUGACCUUUAAAAUUUAAAUAAGACAUAUGCCUCUCAUCUAGAUGUGCAUUUGACUACAUGAAACAAGUAAUGGAGGGGAGCCAAAUCUAUAUUUUUAUAUUCAUAAUAAUUAGGUUAAGAAAAUAACUAUUAAUAAAAAAAUAAGAGAGGUAAGUAUAAUAUUAUAAACUAAAAUGAAAGUAAGUAUUACAAAACUAAACUUGAAGGGUGAUUUAUGCAAUUAUCUCUUUUAUCUUUUGGUUAUAAUGAUUUUCUAGAAAAAUAAUUUAACUUGAAUGACUUUAUAAAAGAAAAUCCAUAAGUUGAGUGACUUUAUUGAUACAAAAUCAAGUUGAGUGACUUUCUCAACUAAUUUCGCAUACUUGAGUGAUCUUUUGAGAUAUUUACUCUAAUUAUUAUCAUAGGUCACCAUUGUCGCAUAGGAGAGUAUGGUAAUUAUUACAUAUUAAGCUUAACUCAUAAGAUGUAAAGAGUGACCAACAAGCUUAACCAUUGACAUGAUAGAUCUUGAGAAAUGACGAUUGUCUGCGUCUCUUAAAGUUUAGUUCUAAUAAUUGGUAUCAAGAGCCUAUAUCACGUUAAAUCCUUGAGUUUACUUAGUUAUGAAUUUAGGGAGUGAAUUUGGGGAAAUUUAGGAUAAUGAAUAGAAAAUGGUAAUUUGGGGCUUAAAAGUUUUAUAUAGCGCUUAGGGUAGAAAGCAAAACGACAUAGUAUUGGAUUAAAACAAUUAGAAAAAGACCCAAAAUCCCUUUAAAAAAUAAUUGUCGAACUCGACCUAUGGGUCCGACCUGUGGACCAUAGGACUUUCUAAGGUCCGUACUGGUCAAUCGUAGACCAAGUAUUGGACCAUGAAAUAAAUUAUCUUUUGACGUAACACUUCUACAGCUCGUAGGUCUUUUUACGGUCCGUAGUCACCAACCGUAGAAACCAACUUUAACCCUCAAAAUUUCACUAAGUAUGGGACACACCUAAGAGACCUAUCUACGACUCGUACAAGGAAUGACAGGCCAUCCUGGUGAACCGUAAAAAGGAUACUAGACUUGAUUUGGAAAAUUUAUUUUCCCCCUUCCUACAAUUUUCAUCUACGGCCCGUGAAGCUUGUACGGUCCGUAGAGGAUUCUGUAGACACAGCCUGCAACCCAAAAACUUCUUUUCUUUCUUUUCCUAAUUUCGAGGUGUUACACCUUCAUCGUCCCCGGCCUCCAAGGGAUGUGUCACCCCUUUACCCAAAAGUCAUGCUUGCAUCGAUUUUACUACAAAUCAGUGUUUCUAAAGUACCUUACUAUCAAAAUAGCAAGAAUACGGGCAUUCCAACUCCUAAAUCAUGCCCAAAUCUAAGUUCAAUCUAUGAACAACCCUUCAACUCCCCCCAUUAUUUCGAACCCAUUUUCGGUCCUUUUUUCCAUAAUCCUUGCACUCAGAAUGUUGUAAUAGAGUUGUAAACGCAAAGGAAGUCCCAUGCUCCAACAAUUUCAACAAACAAGAGCAAAAUUUCAAAGUCCAAUAUUUAACCCAAAAACUCUAAUCUACUCUUAUCAAAUUUUAGCAUGCAGUAAUCAGUAUGUACUUAAUGAAGGCAUAAGAGUAGAGAGUGUGAUUGUUACCUUGAUUUCAAUGUUUAGGGAGAAGUGAUUAGAGAGAGUUUGGAAAAUCAAAGAGGUGAAUGGGAAUGAAAAACAUUCUUCUCCCAUAUAUUCCCUUCUGAUCCAUGACAAGCUGCUAUAGUGGCUUGAUGGCCUCUAUAGCAGCAUCCUGACCACUAUAGCGGGGUCCAGCUUAGUAGGCGAAAAGAAAUCUUGUAUUAACCAUCCAGACCAAAAAUUCACCUUUUUAUCUUAUUCACCGACCCAAUAUGGCAACAUCGAUCGGUUGCCUCUUAUAUUCACAACCUCCUUGUCCUUUUUCUCUGUAGGCAAUGUUGCAGAUUUGCAUAUAGCACAGUUAUUCUUCACAGUUAACCACUUAUUUAUGCACUCUUCAUGAUACUCAGGCCUACAAUGAAGAAUGGCAAUCUUUUCCCCAUCCUUGUAGUCAGUCUACAAUAACGCGUGUAACAUAUGAAUGUCAUCAGAGCUAUCUCAAAGAAAUAAGCAACAAGAAAAGGAAUAUAUCUCUACUAAAAAGAAAAUCGAGGAAAAUUUUAACACCACAAAAUUGUAUACGGGAGUAAUAGUCAUGCAGAAGUAAUAAAGGAUGCACAAUGCCUAUUUAGUGCUAGAAGUUAACCUCCAUAAGCUCACCCUACGAGUAAAGAAAAUUGUCUGUGUCAUAUGCCAGAUAUUACCCCUGCAGAAAAUCAUAAUAUUCUUAUAUCGAUUAUAAGUCAAUGAAAAGGUAAGACCUGGCAUAUGACACAAACAUUUUAUUUACCCGAAGGUGAGAUUAUAUAUAGAGGUUAGCUUCUAGCACUAAAUAGGCAUUAGGCAUCCUUCAUUGCUUCUGCAUGACUAUUACUCCCGUAUACAAUUAUGUGAUGUUAACAUUUUCCUUUAUUUGCUUUUCAGUAGAGCUAUAUUCCUUUUCUUGUUGCUUAUUUCUUUGAGAUAGCUCUGAUGACAUUCAUAUGUUACACGCGUUAUUGCAGACUAACUAAAAGGAAGAGGAAAAUAUUGGUAUUCUUUAAUGUAGGCAUGAGUAUCAUGAAGAGCUAGUGUGUAAAGAAGUGGCUAGCUGUGAAGAAUAGUUGUGCUAUAUGCAACUUUGCAGCAUUUCCUAUAGAGAAAAAGGACAAGCAAGUUGUGAAUACAUGAGGUGAUUGAUGUUGCCAUAUUGGGUUGGUGAAUAACAAAAAAGGGCGAGCAUUUUUGGUCUCGGUGGUUAUAACGGGAUUUCUUUCCGCCCACUAUAGCGGUCACCCAGCCGCUAUAGCGGUUUGUCGCGGAUCAGAAGUGAAUAUAAGGGAGGGGAAUGGGUUUCAUUCCCAUUUCCCUCUUUGACUUCCAAAACUCUUUUUAAUCACUUCACCCCGAAUGUCAAAAUCAAGGUAACAAUUACGCUCUCUACUCUUAUAUCUUCAUUACGUACAUAUUGAUUACUACUUGCUAAAAUUCAAUAGAGUAGAUUAGAAUUUUUUGGUUAAAUAUUGGAAUAAUUUUUCUCUUGAUUGUUGAAAUUGUUGGAGCAUGGGGCUUCCCUUGCAUCUACAAUGCUACUACAAUGUUGUCUUCUUGUGGUUCAAAUAGAAGGGAAAGUUUAGAUUUGGGUUUUCUUCCACUAUUGCUCUAUCAUGCACCUUUGUUUGUGCUUGCCUUUCCCAACACAUACUACACUCUUAUACUAUACACAAUGGUUGGCUUUGAGUUGACAGCAGCUAAAUUUUUCUAGAUCUACUUUGUGAACUUCUUCUCCUUCCUAUAUUUUACGUACUACGAAAUGAUGAUUGUUGCUAUCACACCAAAACACCAUGCAGCUUCAAUCUUCGCUGCAGCUUUCUUCUCGCUUUUCAAUCUCUUCUCAGGUUUCUUCAUCCCCAGACCAGAAGUUUACUCUUUCACACAAGUCCAAAAUAACAUGUUAAAUAUUGAACCUAACAACAAUGCUAAUUCUUCUUGCUAUCAUUUCAGAGAAUUUCAAAGUGGUGGAUUUGGUAUUACUGGAUUUUCCCGGUGGCAUAGACUGUCUACGGGUGCAUUGUCUCACAAUAUGGUGAUGUGAAGGGUACCAUAAAAGUUCCAGGAAUGUCUAUUAACCCUAAGAUUAAGGACUACCUCAUAGAUCAUUUUGGAUAUAAUCCAAACUUCAUGGGACUAGUUUCCAUCUUAUUGGUCAGUUUUGCAGUCUUUUUUGCAUUCAUGUAUUCCUACAGCAUUAAGACACUGAACUUCCUGAGAAGGUAGAAAUAUCUUAAUAGUCUCAUAGUAGAGUAUGGUAAUUGUUGCAUAUUAUGCUAAACUCGUAGGAUGUAAAGAGCGACCAAUAAGGUGUCCACCUCUAUAAAGAUGUAUUGCAUUUGAAAGUUCUGUAAAUAACUACUUAUGUUGCAUUUAUAAAAGAUUACAGUAUUAAUUUCAGGCCUUGUCUUAUCAUCAACAACAACAUACCCAGUGUAAUCCUACAAGUGGGGUCUGGGAGGGUAGCGUGCACACCAUACUCCUACCUCAUACUAAAAAUUGAACGUCAGUCUGUUCCUUGAGAACUCCACUUAUGUGAGUUUCAUAAAGUAUAGAUGAUCGCAUAUCCGGAUAUAGAGGGUUGUGGUAGUUCUUUUUUAUAACCGACUUAUUGACGGGAUACCUUCCACCUCAGGUACAAGAAAAAUAUAGUACAACAAUUAGUUUUACAAACACAUUGCGGUGUAAGAUGUUAUUUUACACCAUGUUAGCUAGCAUUUUCACAUUUCAGAUCAAACCACACUAGGUAUGGCACUCAGAGCGAAGAAUUGAUUGCACCUUCAACCAACUUUUAUCUUGGCAUUAAGAAAUAAAAGGCAUCAUCCCAUCGAGAAGGCUACUUAGGAGGUCGAGCUUAACAUGCAGAUCAGAUAUCCUUGAACUAAAACUUGAAGCUAUGAAACCCUACUUCUUGCUUGAGAGGAGUUUGAUCAUCCUGAUUUGUUUCUUGAGUUCUAUGCAUGAAUGGGGAGGGUUAUGUCGACUAAACUCCCAUUAAUCCCAGUUAGAAUAGGCUAAAACGUCAUAGUGUAGGGAUUAAAAGAGUGGGAAAAGACCAAAACAAUCCUGAAAGAAAAUGACAUUGGCAGGUUCUAUGAUCCCAUCUACGGUCCGUGGAUUGAUCUACGGACUGUAGAUCCCAUCCGUAGAAUUCAAGCUAAAUUUUUUAAUUUCUGAAGUUCCAUCUAUGAGAUCAAUCUAUGGUCUGUAAUUAAAUGUACGGGCCAUAGACUUAGUCCGUAAAAGUUAGACAAAAUGUGAGUUUCAGAACAUUGAUCCACGGGACCAUCUACAACCCAUAAUAGUAUUUACAGCUCGUGGUCCUUGUUUGUGAAACUCAGAGUGAAUCUCUAAUCUCUGAAGUUGAUCUAGGGAUCCUAUCUAUGGUCUGUGGUUUCAUUUAUGUCCUGUCCUGUCCUGUCCUGUAGAUGGCAUCCGUAAGUCCCAAAUUUUUCUGCAGACUUAAUUUUCUCAGCUUCUUAUGAUUUGAUCUGGACUUAGAACUUGUGAAAUGUUACACUUGUCAAGGCACCUUAUUUUUGGCAAUUAACUAACAUUUUUAUUAAUCACCAGUAAAUAUAUACAAAGACAGAGUCAGUCAAACCUGAUUGCUCAUUGCAAAUAUCCAACACAACUACAAUGCCUUCUGGAUGUCUACUUUGAUCAUACAUCUAGGUAACACAUCCUUAUAUGUAACUUUUUACUAGUUCAUGACUGAGAAUAAUAUGAAUAGAAAUAUUAAUCAUUCAGUUGGCUCUAGUUUUCAUACAGGUAAAGAAAUACUUGUUGUUGUUGUCUUCUACUUCAAGCCAGUGAGCCUUAGAUUUCUGUUUCAACACCUUCUCAUGAAGAUCAGAUCACUUUUGAACUUCAACUAAAGCUUCUUUUUCUAUGUCAAAGAGAGUGUUAGAUUUCUGUUUCAUUGUUUUGCCCAAUCCACUUUUGCACUUGAAUCUUGAUCCCUCAUAUUUGGAGGUUGAAUGUUUCUACCCUCAAGGCACCUUAUUUCAUGUACUUUUUAGAUGAGGAAAAUGAUCAAAUAUGUCAUCUUGAGAAAAGGCACAUCUAUGUCAUCCGUCUUUAAAGUUUGGCUCAUCUAUGCUAUUUUCGUUUAAGAAGAAAAAAAUGGAUUUUUCAAAACCAUUUUUUACACGUGGUCAAUUAUGAUUCGGCCACGCCAUUAAUUAAAUUAUUUUUAAAAAGGAAAAGGCUCAAAUAUGCUAUCGAACUUUGCGAAAAUAUUCAUCUAUGUCAUCCAUUUAAAGUUUGGCUCAUCUAUGUUAUUUCAGUUAACAAAUAAUGGUAUGGAUGAGCAUUUUCUCAAAUGGAAAUAGCAUAGAUGAACAAAACGUUUAACGGAUGACAUAAAUGAGUCUUUUCUUAAAGUUUGAUGGUCUGUUUGAGCCUUUUCCCUUUUAUAUAUUAUCAAAACCUACUCUUUUAUGAGUUAAUUAAAAAAGUUAUUGAUAUAAAUAUUAAAAAUUAGAUAAGAUCUUUCAUACAAUAAUUGUUUUUUAGGAAAAAAUAUAUUAUGAUUGUGGAGAACUUUCUUCCGUUGCAUGAACAAUUUAUAAUUGUUUUUCUUCUUUCUUGGUAUUUGUAUUGAAUACUUUUGUUUUUCUUAUGAAAAAGGUUUGUACAAAAUAUUUUUGGGAUGAAGAAGAGGAAAAAGAGAAGGGGUUAAAAUUGUUCAAAAAUUUAGUGAUUGUAUGAGGGUAUAUUUUAUUCUGUUCAACUAUAGUUCUCAUGUAAUUCAUUUUUUAAUUUAUAUUUUAUGAAUUGAAUUGAAAUUUUUUUUGGACAAUUUAAUUCAUUGCUUUUGAAAUAUUAAUGACAUAUUUCAUAUACUGAAAAUUGAAAUUAUUGAUACGGUUAAAAAUAAAAUUUAAAAUUUGAAAUCAGUUAAGAUCAAAUUAUUUUAAGAUCUUCUUUUUAGUUAAUUGAGAAUUAAUAUUAUCAAGCAUAAACUAUAUAUGAAGAACUAAUUGAUUCUUGUGGUUCAUUUUGAUCAAUUCAAUUUUUGCGCUUUAUUCGCUUUAAAAUAAGCUUAAAUCACCAUAACUAAUUAGCAUAAAAUCUUGCCACGUGAAAUUACGAGUGAAAUCAAGACUAAAUAAAUACUCCUUCCGUCCCUACUUAGUUGUCCACUUUAGAAAUGGCACACAGAUUAAAACAGCAAUGAUUAGCAUAGUGAAGUUACAAUUUUACCCUUAUAGUACAAUUUACAAUUCCAAAAUAAAUUCAUUCAAGAUAACUAAUCAAUGUUGAGAAGUUCAUAAGUUUAUUUACUUUAUUUAUGACAAUUUUAUUUAAAUAAGGGUAUAUAAUAGGAAAAAAUUUGUUGUCCUUUCUUGAUUUGUCAAAAUGGACAACUAAAUAGGGACAACUAAAAGAGGAAAUAUGGACAACUAAAUAGGGGCGGAGGGAGUAUCAAAAGACGUAAAAAAAAAAUAUAUAGAUGAUGAAAUUACUCCCUUCGUCCAACAAUAGUUGUCCACUAUACUAAAAAUAGUUGUCCAACAGUAUUUGUUCAGUUUAGAAAAUCAAGAGAUAAUUUACAUUUUGUGUCUAUUAUACCCUUGCUAUUAAAUAUUGUUCCUUCCAUUUCACAAAUUGUUGAGGUGUUUCAGACCCUUAAAGAAAAGAAGAUUAAGAUAUAAAUAAUGCAUAGUUUCCAUUUUUACCCUGAUUAAUUAUUGUCAAAUUUAUGCUUAAAAUAACUAAUUCUAAUACUAACUAAUGAAGGGUAAAAUUGGAAGAAUAUUCUAAAAAUAGUCUUGAAGAUUGAACAAUUAAGUUAAUUUGAAAAAUGAAAAAUGUCUCAACAAUUCAAUUAAUUUGAAAUGGAGGGAGUAUUUAUCAUCUAACACAUUUAUCAGAGCAUUAAAUUUAAUAAAAUCAAAGGAUAAAACAGUAAUAUUACCUUAUAUUAUUUAUUGUUUCUUAAGGGGUGUGAUAAGUCAAUAGUGGACAACUAUUAUUGGACAGAGGGAGCAUACGCUUACAAACUCAUAAAAUUGCGUAUGUUUUUCAAUUUAUAAUCUUUGACACGUUGUAAUUGUUAGAAUUACUUUUGUGGGCUUUCAUAGAGGGAGUAUACGCUUACAAACUCAUAAAAUUGCGUAUGUUUUUCAAUUUAUAAUCUUUAACACGUUGUAAUUGUUAGAAUUACUUUUGUGGGCUUUCAUAGAAAUUGUGUGAAGCAUAAUUGUAUGUUCAUUUCUGUCAUUGGAAGGCUAACCCAAUUAAAGUGAUCGGCUAAGGUUUAAAAUUAAGGAAAAUUUAAUUAAACACACAACUUAUUUUAUCAUAUUUUAAAAAAAAUUCUAUCAUUUGAAAAAUAACAAAAAUUCCUACUCUUUUCUAUUCUCGGACACAUCACUUUACGCGAUGUAUCGGUCGGAUACAUCACUUUACGUAAUGUAUCGGAACGUACGUGAUGUAUCAAAACGUAUGUGAUGUAUCGGGAUGUUGGGUGAUGUAUCUGAAAAUGAGACGCAAUGUAUCGAAACGUUGAAAUAUAUCUAAAACCGGGACACGAUGUAUUGUGGCAUUUUUUAAUGUAUCCAGAUUCCACCAAAUUUAAGGAAUUUUUUUAUAAUUUGAAAAAGAAUAGGAAUAGGGUGUAAUCAGCUCUUUAACAGUGAGAUUUGUGUAAAAUUUCCAAUUAAUGGGUCUAAAGGAUACCUCACAGAGUAUGGGAUCUUAGGUAUAGAUACUCAAAUGUAGAGUUAAUAUCUCAUAUGGUCACUCAACUUUGAAUUGUCCUCUUAGAAAGUCACUCAACUUUGAGUUGUUACCUUAGAAAGUCACUCAACUUUGUUAGAUAACUUAAAAGUGACUCACCUAUUGAUUUUCACUUAGAAAAUCACUCAAUUAUUGAUAUUUCACUUAGAAAGUCACUCAAUCAAUUUAAAUAUUUUUUUCAUAAAAUUUUAUUGAAAUUUAAUUUUUAUGUUAAACUACUUUUUUUAAAGAAAUAAUAAGAUAUUUAUUUUAAUUAUUUUGUUUAUCCAAAUUAUUUAAUUAUAAUUUUUUUUGGAAAACGUACCGUAGCAAUUGACCAAAAAAAAAAACUUUUUCCAUUUUAUCAAUUAUAUAACUGGAAUUAAAUAUGUUAAAAAUGAUCCAAAAAAGAAGAAGAAGUUGGAAUUGAUAAGAAGUACCAUAAAAAAUAAAGACGCAGCACAGUACCAUUUUUUUAAAAAAAAAUAGGUAAAAAGAAAAAUUAUACUUCAAAAUAAUUCAAUAAAAUAAUUAAAAUAAGCAUGUUAUUAUUUAUUUUUUUUAAAAAUAGUUAAUUUUUUUUUUGUAUUUUACAAAAUUUAAUGAAAAAAUUAAAUUAAAUGAGUUGAGUGACUUUUUAAGUAAAAUAUCAAUAGUUAUAUGAAUUUUUAAGUGAACUAUUAAUAGCUGAGUGACGUUUGAGUUAUAAAACAAAGUUGAGUGACUUUCGAAGUGAACCUCAAAGUUGAGUAACUUUCUAAGUAAACUAUUGAAAGUUGAGUGACCAUAUGAGAUAUUAACUCCUGAAAUGUAAUUUCUAAUUAACCGAUGGAUUAAAUUAGAGUUACCUAAACUUGUGCCUAUUAUAAGUAGUAUAGUGUUAUGGUACCCAGUUCAGACUUAGGUUUUCUUAGCCCAUCCGUGAAAAGGAAAACUUAUGUCAUCAAUUUCAAUUUAUUUGUCUUACUUUAUUUUUUAGCCUGUUUAAAAAUUGUCUAUUUUGUUAUAAAAUGUUAUAGUGUGGAUGUCCUCAACACCAAAAAGUUACUCUCACUAAUUAUCUCCACUAUGAAGAUAACCUCCACAUUUAUGACCAUUACUCUUGUAACCUUACACCUUCAUAAUCUCUUCCAUUAUCUUCAUGAUUAAUGUCAUGGUUAUGACUAAUUUUUUGUAGGCCUCUAUGUAACACCAUAAAUAUAGGCAUAAGGUAUAUUGUAUACACUUGAAUAUUUAGAAGAAUAAGAAAACUAUCAUCUCUUGUCUCCCUAUUUCUAGUGCACUCAACUUAUAUGUUUCUUGUCUACUUUUUUGCCUAUAUUAUUACUUUUUAACUUAGAUUUGUAACAUAUUUUCUUUUUUGACAUUUUCUUAAUUUUAUUUUUUCACAUGAUAUGUUUAAUACUAUGAUUAAUAGUCAUUUUAUAUAGUGUACAUAUCUUUAGUCUUAGACCACAUUAAAAAAUUCUUUACUUUUUUAAAUUUUGAAAUAAAUCAAAACGAAGAAAGUGUUUUUAGACAAAACAGUCACAGGGUUGUUUGUCCAUAGCAAGAAAUACGAUGACACACUGCUCUUCAAGACAAUAUAUAAUCUACUCUCUCCGUUUCUAUUUAUAUGCCAUCAUUUUGAAUUUCAUGUGCAUUAAGAAACUACGCAAGUUUACUAUUCUACCCUUAUUUAAUUUUUUGAAACUCAAGUUUUCAAUCAAUGAAUAUGAAUUAAUUUAUUUUGAUUAAUUAAUUUAACCAAUGAACAUGAAUCAUAUACUUAGAUUUUCUAAGUUGGUCAAAUGUAUAUUUUCAAGACUAAUAACUCACAGGAUAAAAAGAGAACAAUAUGAUAAUUUAUGCAUUAAUUUUAUAAAAUAACAAGUAUUAUAGACUAAUUAUUUAUAAAAAGGGAUGACACAUAAAAAGGAACGAGGAAAUAGUAAAUAAAAGAUGAUGUAUUUUUUGAUAGAAACAAGAAAACAAGUGGAAAUAUAAAAACAAGAGGUCCUGGAUUUCCACAUCUAUAAUUAGACUUUUAUACCUAAAAAGUAAACUGGAAUGAAUUGUUCUAGCUUCUUAGGAUAUUUUAUAUAUAUAUAUAUAUAUAUAUUCAGCAAGUAGGAAUUUUGUAUUUGUUAAUGAUAGAUAAUGAUUUUAAUUUGGAUGUUACACGUCUAUCUUGUUUGUGCUACACGCAAAGACAAGAAAAUCAUUAAUUAGGGCUCUCGCAAUCCACGUGCUAUUCCAAAAAUAAUUUAUAGUCAUAUAAAUAUUUAUGACUUGUUUUAAGGUAAAGUUUUUUUCAAAAAAAAAUUAUUCUUAAAAUUUUAUGUCCAAUCAAAUACCAUCUCAUAAAUGAAACAGAUAAAGUAAGAGUAAUGAAAAAAAUACAGUUGAAUGUCUUUGGCCUAUCUAAUUUAUAAAAUAGGUAUAUAUUAUAUAAGUAUUGUAUAUUUUAUACUAAAUGUAUAUACAAUCAAGUUGUGUAGAUAAUGUAUAUUGCGGCUACGGGCUAUGUCGCCAAACUAGAUGGUUGAAGGGUAUAUUUACGUAAAUAAUUAGUGGAGGCUGACCAUGAAUAAUGAGGAGGAAAAAAUGAUGAGAAUUUUUGGUAGGAAUUAAAUUAUAUAAGAAGGACAUUAUAUUCACCUUAAACAAAGAUAACUAUGUACUCGGGAGGACUCGAAUUCGAGAUCUUUGAUUAAGGAUAAAUGACUACUUACAACUUCACCAUUAUCCUUGGUGAUCACCUCUACUUACGAUUCUGCAAAUGUAUGUAGGAUUAUGGGUAGAUAGAGUGAUAUAUAUAGUAGAAACCAAUGUACAUAAAAUAAUUUUCUUAUUUUUUAGGAAAAAAAUAAAUAAAAAAUUGUUUAUUUGUGGGGUUAUUGCCUAGGGAGAGAAGGGGAUCCCUAUCCCAAAUCAUUGGUGUUGAAAUUGUUCAUCACAAGUAAUCAAGUAGAAGUCUUUGUUGUCCUUUUAUGGAUGAGGAUGGUAGUGUACAUGCCAUGUAUUCAAAAAAAUUAAAUUAAUGUAGACCAUUUCACAUAAUUCAGUUUAUUAUCUUAUUAAUUUGUUAUUCAAUUUCUAUUUUCAUAUAUUUCAGUAUCAUAAAAGAAAGUAAUAUGACUAAUGUAGCAUAACACUAUGUGUGAAAUGUCUUUGAGCCUUGGAUUUUGGACUCCAAAGAUAACUAUGAUUCCAUAUAUUAUCUAAAAGAAAAUGAUAUUUAAAUUUCACUUACUAUAAAAUUGUAAAUCUAACUUCAAAUUAAAGAAUACAAGUAGAGAAGAAAGGAUUGUCCAUAAGAAGCUAAUCUAGCGAUCAAGGAAAUAAAAAUUCAUAUUCCAAUAGAAAUGAACUAGGUUUGAGUUUUUCACUCCUAUUUACAUUUUAAUAGAAAAAUUAUUUUACUUUGUGUUGCUACAAACUAAUACUAACAUUAUCAUCAAAAGAUCUAGUGUAGUGGAUGAGACUGUUUAUUUCCCAACUAGAGGUCUUGAUUUUUAAUCCUAACUAUUCAAAAAGUUUUGGUAGGCAGCAUUACCCGAAAUGAACCAUAUUUGUCGGAUGCAAAUCUGAAUUAAUUGAACUAUAAUAUGAGUAAUGAACAUUGAAUGAGAGACAAAAAAAAAACGACCACUAAACUAGCCACAAAUAGAAGUUCUUCAUUCAUUAUUUUUUACUUGUCUACUUUGACUUUGUAAGUCUAUUAAAAAAAAGGUAAAAGGUUCAAAUAUGACGUCAAACUUUGAAAUCAAAUUCAUCUAUGUGAUUCAUUUAAAAUUUGGCUCAUUUAUGCCAUUUAUAGAAAUGGUUCAUCUAUGCCAUUAUUUGUUAAUUGAAAAUAAUUUUCAUUUGGCAAAACUAUUUUUUACACAUGGUAAAUUAUGAUUUGGUCAUGUCAUCAAUUAAAUAAUUUUUAAAAGGAAAAAAGCUCAAAUAUGUCGACCAACUUUAAGAAAAGGUUUAUCUAUGUCAUUCGUUAAAAAUUUGGCUCAUCCAUAUUAUUUCAGUUAACAAAUAAUGAUAUGAAUGAGCUUUUUCCGAAAGAAAAAUAAUAUAAUGGAUGACAUAGAUCAAUUUUUUUCUCAAAUGACACAUGUGAACCUUUUCGCUUUAAAAAAAUAACGGUUGCUAUAUUUAGUGGCGUAGCCAGAAAUUUCACAAAGGGUGUCCAAGAAUCGCAUAGGUAAAAAAAAAAGUUAACUAUGGGUGCACUAAAAUUUUGAAAUCAAACUACGUAACAUUAACAAAAAAAAUUUUAAAUUAAAAAAUAUACUAAAUUUUUUAAAAUCAAACCACAUAAAAUUUAGCUUGAAUUUUCAUGUUUAUUUAAUAGGAAGUGAACGAAAAAGAAAAAAGAGAAAGAGAAAAUUCAGUUUAUAAUGAAAUCACUUUUAUACUUCAAGAUUUCACCAACCUUUGGUGAAUUAACAACAAGAUAUGAAAAAUAAAGANNNNNNNNNNNNNNNNNNNNNNNNNNNNNNNNNNNNNNNNNNNNNNNNNNNNNNNNNNNNNNNNNNNNNNNNNNNNNNNNNNNNNNNNNNNNNNNNNNNNNNNNNNNNNNNNNNNNNNNNNNNNNNNNNNNNNNNNNNNNNNNNNNNNNNNNNNNNNNNNNNNNNNNNNNNNNNNNNNNNNNNNNNNNNNNNNNNNNNNNNNNNNNNNNNNNNNNNNNNAUGUUUUUUUUUGUUAUAGUUUUAAGUUGUAGGUCUCUAAUUUGAGAUUAUUCUAAUAGACAAUAUGAGUUUUGAAUUGUUGAAAAAAUAACAUCUUUAUUAAAUAUGAUUAGGUCUCUAAUUAAUAUUUUUAAUAGAUAAUAUUAAUUUUGAAUUAUUAAAAACAUAACUGAUUUAUUAACUAUAAUUAGAAAUUAAUUAGGAACUUUUUGAAAAUGUAAAAACAAAAUGUAGAAACUGUGAUUCGAACCCGUGCAUGCGCGCAUUAAUAAACCUUCACAUUGAGCAAAGAUACCGCUGGGCUAAGAAACUUUACUAUGCUUAAGGGUGUACAAAAUGUCUUAUUUAACCAUUUAAAGUAUAAUUUUACUUAUAUAUACAAUGUAAUUUUCUGAUGAAGGGUGUCCAAUCUGAGCAUAGUGUACCUCCGCCCCUGGAUAUAUUUAUGUGUGGGCCCACUGCAUAAUAUUACUCCAUAUGUCUCAAUUUAUGUGGCACUUUUCAUUUUUUGAGAGUCAAAUAGUUUAAGUUUGAUCGAAAAUUUAUGCAUAAAUCUUUAAUUUUUUUUAAAUGAAAUUUAUAUAUUUGUAAACUAUAUAGAAAAUACUAUAAGUCACAAUAAUUAAUAAUUCAAAAUGUUUAAAAGAUAUAUUAAAAAAUUUAUGAUUAAAAAUAAAUUUAUUUGAAUCUCAAAAUUUUAAAAAUGUCACAUAAAAUAAGACGAUGAAAGUAUUAUUUUGCUUGUAAAUGAAUUGAAUGAGCGAGUCGACGCGGGUUCUCUUGGACCAAGGAAGUUGCCAGUCGGUAUCCAAAAAAAGUGGAAUGCCAAUUUAUUUACUUAAAAAGCUCAAGUAGGCUGUGGGCAUGACAAAAUUGACAAUUCAACUGAACAUUAUUACAACUACUAGUAGUUUGUAAUAUUUAGAUGGAUAUGGUGUGGUGAAUGAAUUUUUUUUUUUAAUUAGUGAUUACGAAUUUAAAUUUUAAGUGUAAAAGAAUUUUUAGUCCUCUUGAAUGGGGUCUUUUGCAGUGUAAAUUUAAAAUAGUUCGAUUUUAAUGUGGAUAUUAAAUGUCAAAUAAAAAAAAAAGUAGUGUAUAUUUUGGAAAUACUUGAACUAUGAUAUUAAUAUGAGAAAAUUACGUAAUUAUACAAUUUCAGAUAAUAUAAUUUCUAAAAAUUUGUACCAUUUGAAUUAAUUACAAAAAUUCCUUUUUCCUUCUCUCCUAACAUUCGGAUAAAUCACUCCACGUCUAUUAGAUACAUUACAAUUUUGUUUGUGUACAAUGUAUUUGGUAAAAAUGUUAUUGUUGAUACAUAAUCACAAUUAUUUCAAACAUAUAUCAAUAGGAAUCUAGUUUAUAGUUAUGUAUCUAAUAUAUAUUUAUAUAUUUAAUACAUAACUUAGUAUCGUUUGCUAUGUAUCGGGCUAAGAAACAAUAUAUACACGAGUUAUGAAAAAUUCAAAAUUAUUGUAAUUUGAGAAAAUUUUGACAAGAUGUAAUUAGCGCAAAAAUUAGAGUUUAUGUAUUUUAUACUAUAAAGGGAAAAGGGUCUGAAAAAUACUCUAACUUUGACCAAAAUUGUUGUUACGAUACCAACUUUGAAAAGGGAUGUGAAGUCUAUUCAUUAUAUCCUAAAGCUAAGUAUUAUUUAAUUGGAAAGUUCAAUUAGACUUUCAAAUAACUAUCUCAAUAUUUCACGUGAAGUUCAUGUACUGAAGUUCAAUAAUCAUACUCAUAAUCAAGUCGUAAUUCCAAAAUACAAACUAUAGUAUUUGCUAAAAUUAUAUUCAAAUUUGGACAUUUUCCAAUUAAACGGAAUUAAAUCACAGAAGAGCUUCCUACUAAAUCUAAGGCGUUUGGACAAUAUUUGUAUUAAAGUUUUACAAUUAAAUAUUAAUUUGAAGUUCAAAUUGCUAAAAAGUUAAUAAAAGCUUUUGUGUUUGGAUAUGAAUUUAACUUAGAAUUUUUUUUUGGUGAAGUAAUCUCAAUUAAAAUGCACCUUCAAAAUACUGUCUCAAUACUUCCUGUUUUUAAAUUAUUAUUAUUUUUAUUUAUUUUGAUAUGAUAUAGAGUUUAAAAAGUAAAAUCAAUAUAUAAAUUUUGUGGUCUUAAAUUAAAAAUAUGUAAAAUAUAUUAAAAUAUCCUUUUAUUUUAUAUUUAAACAUGUCAUAUGAAAAAAUUAAAACUGAAAAAUAUAUUUAUUUUAAACGAACCUAACAGAAAAGUACAACAAUAGCAUACCUAUUGUAAUUCUACAAAAAUAAGGUUUGAAGAGGGUAAAAAUUUACGGAGAUCUUACCAUUAUUUUGGAGGUAGAGAAAUUGUUUGGAUAGACCAUUAGUUCAGACCAAAACGAAUAAAAAGGGAAAGUAAGAGAAAUAAAUUGAAUAGUAUUUCACUUGAAGUUCAAUAUUUAUAGUAGGGAAAAGGGUCUGAAAAAUACUCUAAUUUUGGCUGAAAUUGUUGUUACGAUACCAAACUUUAUGGAGGACCUUUUACCCCCUGCACUAUUUAAUAGUGUAUUUUAAAGGUAUAUAUGUGCCCACGUGGACACAUUACUAUUUAAAAUGAUGCAAUAUUUAUGAUGUCCACGUAGGCAUAUAUAUACCUUUAAAAUACACUAUUAAAUAGUGCAGGGGGUAAAAGGUCCUCCAUAAAGUUUGGUAUCGUAACAACAAUUUCAGCCAAAAUUAGAGUAUUUUUCAGACCCUUUUCCCUACUAUAAAUAUUGAACUUCAAGUGAAAUACUAUUCAAUUUAUUUCUCUUACUUUCCCUUUUUAUUCGUUUUGGUCUGAACUAAUGGUCUAUCCAAACAAUUUCUCUACCUCCAAAAUAAUGGUAAGAUCUCCGUAAAUUUUUACCCUCUUCAAACCUUAUUUUUGUAGAAUUACAAUAGGUAUGCUAUUGUUGUACUUUUCUGUUAGGUUCGUUUAAAAUAAAUAUAUUUUUCAGUUUUAAUUUUUUCAUAUGACAUGUUUAAAUAUAAAAUAAAAGGAUAUUUUAAUAUAUUUUACAUAUUUUUAAUUUAAGACCACAAAAUUUAUAUAUUGAUUUUACUUUUUAAACUCUAUAUCAUAUCAAAAUAAAUAAAAAUAAUAAUAAUUUAAAAACAGGAAGUAUUGAGACAGUAUUUUGAAGGUGCAUUUUAAUUGAGAUUACUUCACCAAAAAAAAAUUCUAAGUUAAAUUCAUAUCCAAACACAAAAGCUUUUAUUAACUUUUUAGCAAUUUGAACUUCAAAUUAAUAUUUAAUUGUAAAACUUUAAUACAAAUAUUGUCCAAACGCCUUAGAUUUAGUAGGAAGCUCUUCUGUGAUUUAAUUCCGUUUAAUUGGAAAAUGUCCAAAUUUGAAUAUAAUUUUAGCAAAUACUAUAGUUUGUAUUUUGGAAUUACGACUUGAUUAUGAGUAUGAUUAUUGAACUUCAGUACAUGAACUUCACGUGAAAUAUUGAGAUAGUUAUUUGAAAGUCUAAUUGAACUUUCCAAUUAAAUAAUACUUAGCUUUAGGAUAUAAUGAAUAGACUUCACAUCGUGUUUAAUUUUUUUUAAAAAAAUAUUUAAACAUAUGUAUUCAUCAAAAAAAAUUUAUCGUGGUUUAAAAUAAGUUAAAAUUAUGUUAGGGGUUAAGGGGCCAAACGUGAAUUUCUCUUAACGAGAAUAUUAAUUAGAAGUUCGAACAGGGGCAAAAUUGCUCAAAUUCAAAUAGUAUUAUGAUUUGUGACAUAAUUGACUCUUAAUUAAAGUAAACACCCUAUAUCAAGAAAAUGGAAGGAAAGAGGAUAAAAAGAGGAAGUAUGAAAUGAAUGAAACGUAUUACUAUGUAUCUUUCUUGGUAGAAAUUAAUGACAAUGAAAAGGCGUUGAUAGCAACAUAAGUCAUACUUCCUCUGUUUCAAAAUAGUUAUCGCAUUUUCUUAUUUAUUCGAAUUUUAAAAAAAUAUUAAUAUAAAAAAUAUUUACCUUUCAAAAUUAUUUUACCUUAAUAUCUCUCCUUAUUAAUUAUUUAUUAUAUAUAUCUAUAUCAACCACAUCAAUAAUAUACUAAUAAAAAGAGUAAACUAAAAAAUCAUUUAAACUUGUUUUGAUUUUUUUAACAAUGACACGACCUUGCUUAAUUUGCAUACUAUUUUAUAAUUAGAGGUCAAUAAAACCAUAAAUUCAAUUGGCUUUCCCACCUAACUUUUCUCCACCAUUCACCCUUCUCUUCUCUCCUAUCAACUCAUAAACACCGGAAUAGUAGUUUUUAGUUGAAUAUUUAAUAGGGGUUUCGAUAUGAAUUGAGUAACAUUUAAAAGUUUUUUUAAAAAAAAGUAAUUGAAAUUUUAAUGUGUGUGCCAAAAAAAUAUUUUAAUGUAUAUGAAAAGAUGUUUUGAAUUAUUUUAAAAGAUUAAAUUGAUGUUCAAAUGGACCUUAAUUAAUUAGUGAUUAUUGUUAUUAAUACUAUUUUAAUAGGGAACUUGAAUUUGUUAGGUAAUAGCUAGAUUCAAACUAUUUGAUACUUUUAACAAUUAAUUAAUACUACCAAAAAUUAUCUUAAUUUCUUAAAUAGAUUAUACUACUUCCUCAGUUCAUUUUUAUUUGUCCAUUAUACUAAAAGUAAAUGUCGAAUAAUACGUGUUCAGUUUGAAAAAUCAAGAGAUAAUUUACCCUUUUGUAUCUAUUUUACUUUUGCUAUUAAAUACUUUUAUUCAAAUAUCUAAUAUAUUUUUCAAAAGAGAAAACAUCCAAAUGCCCCCUCAAGUUAUGUGUGGAUUUCUAACUAUACACUUAAUUUUUACUGGGGUCCUAUUACCCCCUUGAACUACUUUAAAACCAAUCAAGUAACCCCUCAAGUGCUGACAUGGCAUAGAGAGUGCAUUUCACUCUCUCAAACAGAGUGAGAAGCAAAAAACAAUUAAAAAAGCAUUUUUGUUAUAUUUUUAUUAUAGUUAAAUUGUAUUUUUUUCUUUUUUUCUUUUUAUUUAUUUAUUUUUAUAAGAAAAAUUACCCCUUUUAAUGGAGGGAAUUACAUUCCCUUUCACUUCUAUGGGAGAAGAAGAUAGCAGUCCAUCUGAUAGAUUAUAAAUCCUAAUAUUUGACAGAAAAACUCAUCGAACGAGUCGGCGAUGAGGAAGAAAUAAUCAUAGGAAAAUAUGAACUCACCGAUAAAUUUGAAAAUUUAUUCUUGAGCUUCGAAGCUCUUUAAUAAUGGUUGUCCAUGAAUUUAUGUUUCCUCCAAAAAAUUUCUUUAAUUCAAAUCAAUUGAUCUAGACGUUUUCAAACUCAAGAACUCAAAAAUGGGAUUCCCAUAAAGGAUUCAAUUUAGUCUCUACAAUUGGUAAUUGAAAAUGAAAAUUUUCAGAUUUGGAUUCAAACCCAGCAACCACAAUUUUUUAUUUUUUUUUGACAGCUUUGUAGGUCAGUGGGGUUUUCUGAUUUUUGGCUUAAAUCUUCACACUUAAUUCAAAAUCAAUUAAUAAGUAAUGUGUAGAUUCAAUACACCAAACCCAAUCACAUUCACAAACUUUCUAGAUUUGCACAAAUUCGAUGAACACAAUGAAGAACAAUAGUUUUUUUUUUUUCUUCAAAUUUUAAGAAAUUAAUAAAGCCAAGAAAACAAUUGAAGGAUUUAAGGUAAGUAUUAUAGAAAUCUGUAGUUUGAAGGUUCAAUUUGCACGUGUAUAUAUAUAUAUAUAUAUAUAUAUAUAUAUAAUUACAAAUUUAAAAGAAAAAAAAGAGGUAAAAUAGAAUAAAGAUGAAAGAAGAAUUUAAAAAAAGUUUUUUAUAAAUUAUUAUAUAUGCCUGACAGCUGGUAGUGCGUGUCCACCACUUCAGGUUAUGAAUGUGGGUGUAUACUUUUAGGGUGAUAUUUAUAUCAUUUUAAAGUAGUUCAAGAGGGUAAUAGGAUCCCCGUAAAGUAUAAGUGUGUAGUUGAGAAUUGGACAAUAGAUUGGGAGGUCAUUUGACUAUUUUCUCUUUUCAAAACAUAUAUUCAAAUGGUAAUGUAGUAAUAUUACCUAUAUUAUUGAUUGUUUCUUAAGGUGUGUCAAAACAAUAGUUAUCUCAAUAGUGAACAACUAUUGUUAGACAGAGCGAGUACCAAAAAUUGAUUUGUUAGAUGAACCUAUCAUAUUAACUUUAACAUUUAUAAUAUGAGAUUUUAAUAGCUCAAUUAAUUGACUACUUAAAUUCCUAUUUUAUUAAUGAAAGUUUGAUUUUUUUAUUUUUUACCCCCCUAAUGUAAUUUAAAAGGAAAACGUUUAUAACAUUUGAUGUUGCAAAAGAUAGAUGGAUAUUUGGUGGCCACAUAAAAUAGAGCAAUCAAAAAAGAGCAUUAACAUUAACGUCAGGCGGAUUCAACGAUGUGGGAAUUCCUAGUUUGUCUGGUUCAACUUUAUUAACCCCACACACCAAAUUGCAUCACAUAUGUUUUUAUUUAUUUAUUUCAUUAAAAUUUUGAUAAUAAUUUAUUGAUUUAGCGAUAUUGAUAAUGGAUUUGAGUUCUUUUUAUAUCGAGUAUUAUUAACGAUUUGAGAUUUUCCUUAACAGUUUAUUUAUAACUUGAUAGUAAAAUUAAGAAAUUAUAAUUAUAUCAUUCGGUAUAUAAAGUUUUUGAUUAUACUACAGGAUUUCAGUGUUUGGUUUUGAGCAUGAUGCAAUAUGUCAACUCAUGUUCAUGAUUUAUUAGGUUUGUCAUUUUAAAGUGAUUUUCAAUGAUUUUUUUGUGAAUCGUAAUAAUUAAAUCGAUAACCAAACCGACAACGAUCAAUAACUGAUAGCUUAAUGAUUAUAUAAUGAUUUAGUGUGUCUUCAAAUGGAUAGUCAAUACUUAAAAUUAAUAAACUUCAAAAUCGAACGACCUAAAUCCCUAUGAACCAACAUUUUUCAACUUGAAACAUUAUGAUAGUCCUCUCUUAAUUAGCCUUAAUUUUUUGUCCACCUUAGCAACUUGAAUUUCACAUGAUCCAUAAAAUUAGCUUGAAUCUCUUUAAAUUUUUAUUAUUAUUUAAUUUCUUUUUCAAUAUAUAUAUAUAUGUUGCAUGACUGAAAUUUUUAGAUUGGUUGUAGUCUUGUUGAAGAAGAUAAUUAACAAAAACAACAGACAUGACUUGAGGUUGAUGACAAUUGGGGAAUUUCUUAUUUUUAUUUUUUUUGCAGUAGACACAACUUUAAUCUAUUCAAAACUAUGACAUUUUUGUUUUCCCCAAGGAUAUUUUCUCAACAACUUUUAACAUAUUGUCUUGCCAAAAUUUCUAACAUUGUAAAAUUUCAACGUGGUUAGCAACAAAUUAGAAAUUUUUUUUGCACCAUCCAAAGUUGCGGUGGAGUAAGAAAUACUCCUCCAUUUUCUGUUAGAAGUUUUACAUUUGAGUUUUGAAUAUAGAGUUGUCUUUUGUAUAUAACACUUUAUCUAAAAAAAAAUGGAACUUUCAUACAUGAAUUUAAAUUAGUCAGACUCUAAAAUGAAUAUUAAACACCGAACGAAAAAUCAAAAAAGAAAGGAAUGUAGGAAUAAUUUGACUCAAAUAUGUCAAUUUCCGGAAGAAUUAGUUUUAUAAGCCAUUUUCAUUUUUAAAAUUUUUUUUAUGAUAUUUUUAUAAACAAAUAUUCAUUUUUAUACCUAAAAAUCUGAAAGAUUAAUUUUCUUCUAUCCAAGUGGUCAAGAGACUCAUUUGCUACGAUGAAUAAUUCCUUUAGCUUCAUUGCCUUCGCUAUAACGAAGCCUUCCUUCACUAUAGAGAAAUGUUAAUUUGAUUGGCCAAAUAAAUGGUUUGUCAUCAUCAUUAAUGUCCAAAUCAUACGAAUUAUACGAUGUGAAAAAUCAUGGAUUUAUAUGUGGAUGCAGUUUCAAACGUAUACAGUAUUUUGUAUUAUUUUGGUCAUGAAGAUAAUAUUUGUGAUCAGUGGCAGAGCCACCUUAUAGAUAGGGGCUCAUUCGAUCCUCAUUUAGCGGAAAAUUAUAUUAUUUAUAAAUGGUUAAAAUUUUUUUUAAGUAUAUAUAAUAAAUGUCGAGCACCCUUCGACUAUUUCGCAUAUCUAUUUUUUCAGAUUUUGAACCCAUUAUUAAAAAUCCUGACCGCCACGAUUUGUAAUUAAUUGCAUGGACUCCAAUUAUACAACAUUACAUCUCCAACCCAACCUGGGCAGUCUACCCUACCCACCAAAAUUGUAUGGCCUGUGUUGUUCACAUACUAUUAUAUGUUACUUUUAAUAAUUAAUAUUGUUUUACUACUUGUUAAUUAUUUAUUAAAGAACAUUAUUUUCAUUAAUUAUAGGGAAAAUGGUAAGAAGUUCUUAAAUUAUAUGAUAUGAACAAAAAAGUCCCUCGUUUAUGGUUUGAUCCAAAAAUGCCUUUGUUGUCAAUUUUUUGGUCCAAAAAUGCCCAUUUUCCAAAUAAAUAUAUUAUUUAUUUUCUUUUUAACAUAUUCUUUUUCUAAUACUAUUUUUUUAAAAAAAAUUAGCAAAUAUUUAUCCUACUUCAAUUCAGAAAAAACUAUCAAAUCCAUAACUGCUGUUGCUUGUGCAGGAGUAACUGGAGAACUUAAAAUUGCAAUAAAAAAGUUGUCAACUAAUAAAGACCGGAAGUCCAUGCGAAAAACCUUGACUAAUAGAAUAGUUAAAUUAGAAUAGGCUGCACCUGGGUUCCGCCUUCUCCUUGUCGAGUUUUGCUUCUGAUCUCUCUCUGAGUCUCUAGUUCGUUACCUUCUACUACCGAUCUUCUCCCUCUGCUGCUACUGGAGCUACUGGAUAUCGACCUAAGAGAUACUAGACCGGGUGCGAGAGGAAGGGAUGCUGCUAUUAUUAUAAUUAUUUUUUAUCUUUAUAUAAAUAAAAAUUAAUGAUGGAUAUACUUAUGAUCUUAUAUAUAUUAUCCUUCAAAAGGUAUAUGAAGUUAUUCUAUUUUAAUUGAUAAAUGAGAUUAAGAAGAAAAAAAUUUAUUUCCUACAUUUUUAUUUGUUAAAGUGAUUUUAAAAGGAAGAAAACAAGAAUAGGAGUCUUUAAUAAUAUUUUAAUUAGGAAGAAAAUGUGCUUUAAAAGAAAAGAAAUAUAAUAUUUAUUCGGAAAAAAGCUAUUUUUAACCCAUUUAGUAACUAUAGGGGUGUUUCUUGAUCAAAGUAUUAACUAGGGGUGUGCAAAAAUCAAACUGAGCGAUAAACUUAACCCAAAAAAGUAUUAUUGAUUUAUUGUUAUUGGGUUAUUGAAUUAAGGGGUUUUUAAUACUAAGUUAUUGGAUAAAUCGACAACCUAUUAAGUUAGUAAUCCACUAUAUUUAUUUGUACAUAAGUAUUACUAUAUAUUAAUCUUAAUACCUUACUAGUUACGGUCUUUAUCCUUUAGCCUUUAAUUCACACUUCAAAGUGACUUUUAGUUCACAACUUCACAUUAUACAAAACAUCAAAAUCUAAAGUAAGAAUCUUAUUACUCUUAAUUUCUCUUUGUGUUACACUUGUAUAGUUUUUUUCAUUACAUUAUUGUGUUAUCACGUCAAAUUUAUUAGAGAAGUCAUAUAUUUAUUUUAUAAGUAUUUUCUUAUUGGUUAAACCGAAAAUCGAACCGUUAAGGACCAAAACCGAUAAAAAAUCUCUUAUUGAUUUAAUAUAUUUAAAAAUCAAAAAUCGAUAAAUCGAACUAAUAAUACAUAAAAUCGAACUGACCGAUGCACACCCCUAAUAUUAACUACAAAGGCAUUUUUGAAUCAAAAUAUUGACGAUAAGAAUAUUUUAAAGCCAAACUAUAAACAAAAGACACUUUUAUUCAUUUCACAUAGUUUAAGAACAUUUUUUGAUUAUUUUUUCUUAGUUAUAUAAUAUUUCCUUGUUGUGUUGUUGAAGGAAUGAGAACAAAAUCCCUAAGGCAGAAAUAGACAUGACUUGCAUCCAUGUUAGGUCAAGUGGUCUCUAACGUGUAGCUAAAACACUUUCGUCCUAAUCUAUGUGGCAUCGUACUCUUUUUGUACAUAAUUUGCGUUUUUCAAAAAUCAAUUUGAUUAAUUUUCAAAAUUAAAUUAGAUUACAUUAAUUUGAUAUUUUAAAUCAAAAAUUUAGAUAUUUAAAAACUAUACAAAAAAUAAUAUAAAUUAUAAUUUUUUGCAUUUUCAAUAUGAUUAAAUAAUAUAUCAUAAAAUAUUAGUUAAAAUUCUUAUAGUUUGAUUUAAAAAAGAAAAAUAUGAUUAAUUAAAAGUAGACAGAGAAAGUAUAAUUUAACAGUAAUUGGUACGAAAAAAGCAUUUUUCCUUAGCUAGUUUAUUACUAGAUUCAAAUCACAAAAUCUUUUGCAAAACAUUGACAAUUCAUAUGUCAGAUUUCCACAGGGAUGCACAAACAGAUCCUUGUCAGCAUCACUUUCUUAUUUUUUCCAACCCAUGGUUCUCAUGAUGUUUUUAAAAUUAAUUAAUUCAAAAUAAUGACAAUUUUAAAAAAAAUAUUAUUGUAAUGAAAUCUUUUUAUAGUCAGACAAUAAAAUAAAUAAAAAUUAUAAUUGUACAAAUAUUAUGAUAUAUUUUUAUUUUUUUAUAUUAAAUUAUGUCAAAUCAAACUAGAUAAAUAUGUAGUAAAGGGAAUAGUAUUCUCUUGGAUUGUCAGUCAACGUAGAAGAAAUUCAUAGGUUUAUACUAUAUAUCGUGCCCUCAUGAGUUUGAUUAAAAAUUAAUUUAAGUGUCUAACCAACAAAACAUGUCUAAAUAUUUUAUUUAUUACGCUUAAGACAACAGGGAGGAAGAAGCAAACAUAAUUCAACAAACUAAAAUUAUAACUAAAUUUUUCAUAAAAUAAUAAAUAUUUUCUAGUUGGAAAAUUACAAUCAUUAACUUUAAUUAAAAUCUAUGUUAAGGACUUAAGGUAAUAUGUUAAAAGAUGAUUAAUAUUUGGAUUGCCUAAGUAUUAAAAGAGCAAAUUCUUAAGUAAUAUUUGGAUUGAAUAGGGAACUUAAAUAAUACUUCCUCUCCUUCUAAUUUUUUUUUUUGAUUUAACACGAAGUUUAAAAAAAUUAAAAUUAUAUCAAAUAUAUUAAAAAUAUCCUUUAAUUUUAUGACCUAAAACAUGCCACAUGAAAAACUGAAAUUAACGUGUUGCCAAAAAAAAAGUCAUUCUUUUCAAAUAGACUAAAAAGGAAAACAAAUCAUCCCUUUUUAAAUAGUCUCACAUAUUAUAUAAUUUUUAACAAAAAAGGAAAAUUAAUAAUCUAAAUAUCGAAUUUUAAUAAAACACCUCAACUCAUUUUUAUAUAACACACCAAAAAAGUGCUUUAUAAAUAGAAAAGUAAUUUCUUUUACAUUUCAUCCAUCUCAAUUAAUAUGAAUUAGUUUAACUUUACACUAAGUUUAUUUUUAUUUUUUUAAAAUUAUAAUUUAAAAUAAGUUAUAAAUACAUAUGCAGCUAAAAAUCUUUUUUUAUUGACAUGAACUAAAUAAAUAAUAAAUUAUAUAAAUUGAAAUAAAAUAAAUAUUCUAGUUGGGUUCAUUUGGAGGCAGGGUUACCAACAUAGAUUAUUAUGAGGUGUGAAAGUGAUUCCUUAUUACACAGAGAUCUCGAGUUCAAAUUUUGAUAAAAGAAAAUAUUAUUGGGAUUUGGGAGCGUGUCCGAAAAAGGGGUAAAUGGUGUAAUAGGAAAAAGUUGAACAGUGAAAAAAGAAAAGUGGUAAUUUGGUUGCUACAAAAUGCCCUGAUCAAUUGCAGAGUUGCGAGGACAAGUAGGAGAGAAGAAGAUAAAGAGUAGUACUUCAGCAGAUCUAUCACAAACAAUCUCCUCUCUCACUCUGCUCAAAACUCAGCCAUGUUCUCCUUGAAUGGCACCAGUUUUACGGUAAUACCAGUACCCCAUUUCUUAAAUCUCUGUUUUGAUUGUUCACAGUCAGAUGAAAUGAAGAAGAAGAAGAAGGAGAAAUUGUCUUGAUUGAUUGUUAAUUCUUUGAUUCAGAUUGAGUUUUUGACGACACCCAUUUUCAUAGAUUGAGCUGAAAGUUGUUAAUUUUGAGUGAUAGAGAUAGGAUAAGGAAAAGGGAACAACACCCAGAUUUCUUUUUCCACUGAAAAUGAAAAAAAAACGAAACUUGCUGUGAUUCAUGAACAUUCAGAUUGAUUUAGACAUACCCAUAUUUAAAAUUGAGUUGAAAGUUGUUGAUUACUGUUUUUGUUCACUUAUGGACAAUUUUUCAUUUUCUAUAUUUUAUUAAUUGUGAUUGUUUUGUUGUAUUUUGCAGAACAAUUCGUUAUCUGGGGUUUCAAGAUGUUUGACUCAGUCAAGCAGAAGAGUUUCAGCUCCUAUGGUGGUGGUAGCCGCCGUGAGUUCAAACGGAAAACCUGGAGAUGGAAGUGUUAGUGUAUUGGUGGAGAAUGCUUUGACGGAAAGUGCUGCACCGGUUGAGAUGGAGGUUAAAUCUACUGUCACUGGUGGAGUUCAAGACGUUUAUGGUGAGGAUAGUGCCACAGAAGAUCAAUCCAUCACACCUUGGACCUUAUCUGUUGCUAGGUGAAAAGUUACUUCUUUUGAAUUUGAGUCGAUAAUUCCUAUGCUUUCUGUUCCCAGAUGGGGGUUAAGUUUAAGAUUUAGAUGGGUUUUGAUUAAUUUAAUUAAGGACCGGGAAGGCCGAACCACAAGAGUUUAUUGUAUAUGGAGACUGUUUUCAUGGCUUGAACCUGUGACCUCCGAGAUGGAUGUUCAUGUCAUUCCAACUAAAUGGGGUUAUCUAGUUUUAGAGGCUCUUGUAUUCUGGCUUUUUUUGUAUAAUUAAAAAAAGAAAAGAAAUUGAGCUUUCAUCACAGCUAGACUAGUAACCUUUUGUCUACAUAUGCAUGAUCUGAUUAUAUAGAUGUUUUGUUAAUAUCAAAUAAAGGCACUUGCUUUUCUUCUAUUUCUCUUACAAUUAAAUUUUAAUCUUUUGUCCCCACUUAAGAGCUAUUGGGAUUUGUCUUUUUGGUAAACCAAGGGUGGACAUAUUUUGUGUUAGUCACUGUUAUCUUUACUCACCUAUAAUUUACAUUACAGAUACUGUUUCCCAAGUAUGAUGCCUCUAUGCUCCAACAGUCACCUAGGGUACAACAACAACAUACUCAGUGAGGUCGCACAAGUGGGGUCCGGGGAGGGUAGAGUGUACCACGAGACACUGUUUCCGAAGAGCGAUCCCAGGAAUUUGGGGCUAGUUCUAUAAGCCUUGUUGUGGAUUGAGUUUUCCAUUUUAAGUUAGAGUAUUUAUUGUUUGAUGAAGUAAGUGAUUUCAAUAAAAAGCAUCAAGAAUUUAAGAUGAUGCAACAAUUAUAAGAUAUGAGCAUUUAGUUCGAGUAUAUUAUAUGUUUAUAUCUUAAUCUAUUGAAGUUGUUAGUUGCUCAUUGAGCCUUCUUGAGAUAUCAUAAACACAGUUUGCUCUUGAUAGACGUUCUGCAUUAAGUUCGACUUAAUACGUCCUGCUCUUGAGCCUUCUUGAGAUAUCAUAAAUGCAGUUGCUCUAUGUACUUUUUUUAGAAGGGCUGAACUUCCAUGUCGUUGUUUUUCUUACAAAGAUUAUCUCUUUUCAGCAUUCAUUUAACAAUUCCUUCUUCCAUGUUAAUGAAAUAGGCUCAAGCGUUAGUCUGACACUUGACUAUCUCAGAAGUUGUCUUUACUUACGCGCACUGAAACAUACUGUGUUCUUUUGCUUGCAGUGGUUUCUCAUUGUUGCGUAACCCACACUACAAUAAAGGCCUUGCUUUCUCUGAGAGAGAGAGAGACGCCCACUAUUUGCGUGGUCUUCUUCCUCCUGUCGUAAUUAGUCAUGACCUUCAGGUUGUAUAUUCUGCAUUUUACAGAUCCUACAGUUUCCGUGUCUCUCUUUAUCUGAUUAGAUGAAAGUUCAAUAACAACAUUGUUGUGCUACUCGUUGUCACAGGUCAAGAAAAUGAUGAACAGCAUCCGUAAGUAUGAUGUACCACUUCAAAGAUACAUGGCCAUGAUGGAUCUUCAGGUAGUAAACAAAAUGAUUUUAAGGUUCUAAAUACUUUCUGCAAUUAAGGUUUUUUUUUUGCGUCAAGCUCUUUUAUGUUAUACUAAAUUGAGCAGAACACAGAUGAUUAGUGUAUAAUAAUCUUUCAAGUGUGGUGACACUGGGAAAUGUAAAACCAUUUGUUUGUUCAGCUCAAGUCCAGAAGUCCUGCACGUGUAUGCCCGCCUUUAGUUGCUUCAUAAUACUCUUGUUUAUUGUUGUAUGAAUCGUGGUGCAGGAAAUGAAUGAGCGGCUAUUCUACAAGCUUCUUAUUGACAAUGUUGAGGAGCUUCUUCCAAUAGUUUACACUCCAACUGUUGGUGAAGCAUGCCAGAAAUAUGGUAGCAUCUUCAGGCGUCCUCAAGGUCUUUUUAUCAGCUUGAAAGAAAAGUAAGCAUUUGAAUGCACUAUAUAGCUUCUCAAAUUAAAGGCUUGACAUUUCUUAUUUCUUGUUAAAACUAAUAUGUGCUAGCUUUUUGCAGAGGCAAAAUUCAUGAGGUACUAAAAAAUUGGCCUGAGAAGAAAAUUCAAGUUAUUGUUGUUACUGAUGGAGAACGAAUUCUGGGCCUUGGGGACCUUGGUUGCCAGGUAUAUUGUGUAUUGAUUUGGUUGAAGUUCCUUAAUUCUAUUUUCAGGACAAAUAAAUCCUCCGUCAGUUUAACUAUUGGUUCCAGUUCAUUUUUGGACCUAUAUGUAUCUUUUUCCAUAAUGUAUUUCUUUGUCAUUGUUAACAUAUUAUAACAGUCAUUACGUUUUACCAGGGAAUGGGGAUACCAGUGGGUAAGCUCUCUUUAUACACUGCUCUGGGAGGCAUUCGCCCUUCAGCUGUAAGUUUCUCUUUAUAACAGUAGUUGGAAUUUAGAUGAUACUACUGUAUCCACAAAUACUUUAUUCCACAAACACUACUGUAUCUAUAUGGAGUUCUGGGAUUUCACUUUAUCACUCUAUCCAGUAACCCCUUGUCAUAGACUCAUAUUAUGUGGUUCGUUGUGUAAGUUUGUGAAUUCCUUUCUGAUUGAUGUUUGCCAAAUGAAGCUGUAAUUUGAGCAUAAAUGUUUUUAACUUGACAGUCUGAGCGGUAUCUGACAGUUUCCCGGUCGUCACCUUUCGUAGUCUCCUGUUAUAGUUUACUCUGUUGUAUAUGCUAUGAGCACACAGAGCUGAAAUAUAAUAUAUUUCCUAUCUUCCAAUUUGUGUUGCACUAUUAAUACUUGAAGAGUGAACAUCUGUUUCCUUGUCUAAAUGUUUGGCGAGUUUCUAAAAAUGUACAUUUUCAAAACUUUAAGGACUCUCGUACUCCAACUCUACCAUUCAUUGGGAUGGUGGGAGUACUAGGUUUAUCAGUCAUAUAACCUUAUCUGUUUGGUCUUUGCUUUUUCUGUCUUAUCAGUUGAAAGCCUGAUUAUCCUCUCUUUCUUUUCAGUGUUUGCCCGUUACCAUUGAUGUGGGUACAAACAAUGAAAAUUUGUUGAACGAUGAAUUCUACAUUGGACUCAGGCAAAGAAGAGCUACCGGACAGGUUCACAAACUUGAUAUCUGAUCAUGCUUACUUUACCUUGUAUUUAUAGAAGAUGUAAUAUUUCCUUAAUGUUCCUUGUUUGAUCCUCUUUUCCAUUCUCAGGAAUAUGCCGAACUUUUAGAUGAAUUUAUGUAUGCCGUCAAGCAGAAUUAUGGGGAGAAAGUGCUCAUUCAGGUAGAUAUUUUCUGGAAAAAUUGCAGAUAAGUGCACUUAAACAUUAUACUUGAUAAUCUGACUUUGUUUAUUGACAUCUUUAGUUUGAAGACUUUGCAAAUCAUAAUGCAUUUGACCUCCUUGCAAAGUAUGGAACUAGCCACCUUGUUUUCAAUGAUGACAUACAGGUAAGUCAAGGACUCCUUAAUUUGUUAUUGUUUUCUUUUCACGGGUGCUUGGAGUAGGAAGUGGAUGUUUUCUGUUUGUUACACAAAUUCUUUAGCAAACUGCAAACAUAUUAUCUUGUUUUUGUUCCAGGGGACAGCAUCAGUGGUCCUUGCUGGGCUGAUGGCCGCAUUAAAUUUGGUUGGAGGAAGCUUGUCUGAACAUACAUUCUUAUUCCUUGGAGCAGGAGAGGUACAUCUAUCACUUAUACUGCUGACUUGCACUUUGAACUGUGACCUUUCUUUUGCCAUUAUUUCCUAGAAAUAACAUGUCUUACUGGAAUACUGAAAAUUUGAUCGUCACAAAGUAUCGUGUACUGUAAGACCAAAAUGGAUUCUGUUUAAAGUUGCUCUGUGUGUUCCUUGCUCUUAAGAUUUUAGCUAUUAUUCAACAGCUGCUUGUAUUUCUUCUGAUUUGAUCACGCUUUCUGCCUCAAUCAAUUGAUCAUUUUGUAUCCCAUUCACCUUGUUGUCAAUGCAGGCUGGCACAGGUAUAGCUGAACUCAUAGCUCUUGAGAUGUCAAAGCAGGUUUGGACUUAAAUAGAACAAUUGUCAUUUUUUAAGUUAGCUCUUUCCAUUCUAGUUUCAGCUACGUCUAAUAUGAAGAUAUUUUACAAGCCUUUAUACUUUACUCUUUCUUGUACAGACUGGAAUCCCUCUAGAAGAGACUCGCAAGAAAAUUUGGAUGGUGGAUUCUAAGGUAUUAAAUUUCCUUCAUCAGACUUGUUAUUUAUUUUCAUCAUUUUCCUCACUUUGUAUGCAAUUGAAGCAUCCAUAUGUCCUCUCUCCAGGGGCUGAUUGUUAAGUCUCGCAUGGAGAUGCUUCAACAUUUUAAGAGGCCCUGGGCACAUGACCACGAACCAGUACAAGAACUAGUGAAUGCUGUGAAGGUGGUACCUCUAUUUUUUCCUCCUCUACCCCAAAACUCCCCUCCCGCCUCUCACCCUCCCUCUCACAAUUCUCAUAUUGUGUCAGUCAAUUAAGCCUACGGUCUUGAUUGGAUCUUCUGGAGCUGGGAGAACGUUUACUAAAGAAGUUGUACAAGCUAUGGCAACCUUCAAUGAGGUAAGAUAAUGAAGCCCUACUUGGAUAGGAAAAGCUACUUUCUGUAGUUCAACCAGUUUGUGUAGUUAACAUGUAACACAAUAAACUGAUGGUUUCUUUUUCCUUCAAUUUUAUGUCAUGCAGAAACCAAUUAUUUUUGCCCUCUCCAAUCCAACAUCACAGUCUGAAUGUACUGCUGAGGAGGCCUAUAGCUGGAGUGAGGUGAGAUACUGUUUACUUUUCAUGUUUGAAGUCAGUCUCUUACACAGUCAAUAUUUGUCUCUCCGUGUAAUUUUCUUAUCAUGUCUCCUUCAGGGGCGAGCCAUUUUUGCUAGUGGGAGUCCAUUUGCUCCAGUUGAGUACAACGGGAAGGUCUAUGCGUCUGGCCAGGUCAGAGAUUUCAAACCCUUAGCUAUUUUCCAUUAUCAUCAUUUUUUCUUUCGGUAAAUCUCUUUACAUUAUCAGUACUUAUGCAAGAUCCAUACUAAACUUCUCUCUUUUCCUUGUCUAGGCAAAUAAUGCAUAUAUUUUCCCUGGGUUUGGUCUAGGACUGAUAAUUUCUGGUGCAAUUCGCGUCCACGAUGACAUGCUCCUCGUAGCCUGUAAGUUGUGGAAUUUGUUGUAGUUCAAUAUUACCCCCUCCCUUUUUUCCAUAAAUACGUAAAUGAGGGAAUUGAGCAACAGGAAAAGGGAAAAUACUGACAAGCUUACGUACAGUCGUUGUUUUCUUUUUAGAGGGGUGGAAUGGUGAGUUGUCCUUAUUUCUGGAUGAAAACUCUAUGCCAUAUGUCACUGAUAUAAUUUGCCAUAAACAUCUUUCCAGCCUUUCUCCUUAGGUGUGGUAAAAGAUUUGACAGCCAUUACUUAUUAAAAGAAAGGAAUUUGACAGCCAAUCUAUGUUGCGUGGACUCUUCAUUUUAGCCACCGCAUCUGGUCGACACAUGGUACUGGUAAGGGUGUGGUCAAUCGAGAUCGGGUACUUUGACCUCAAUCCAUGACAAAAUUUGAAGGAAAAAUGGGAAAUGAAAGGUCGAAUUUUAGGUGCUGCCUGCUAAUGCCUACUACUUGGGGAAUUGUCAAAAUGAAAGAUUGAAUUUUGGCUACAUCCCAUCUAUGUCUCUCGGACUCUUCUAAAAUGUCAAUGGGUGCAUUUCGGAUUCUUCAAAAGUUUAUUUUUGGAGAAUCGCGGCAUCGAAAGUGAAAGAGUCUGUGCAACUUAGCAUUCCACAACAUUUAAGGUUUUUUUAUAGAUCUUUUUAGAAUUUUGAAUUAUUUUAGCGGAAUUCCCCCACCCGUAUUCGUAAGCCUGAAUUUUAAAAUUUUGUAUUAGGAAGGAUCAGACCUCUAGUCUAGAUGCACACCCGGAUCGGAUACCCACACCAGAGUUCGAGGAACAUAGUAACCAAUAGCAUCCAAGGGUGUAGCCUAGAGGUUAGAGGUUAAUGAAGUAGGUGCAAACCUUGGAGAUUAGUGUUCAGCCAACAGAUUGUCCAUGGAAUUGCAAAAAUAGGUUCACCUUUGCGGUUUGAUUCUAUGAAAUUGCUCAUCUGUCUAGGUCUCUGGGAUUUACAUGUUUCCAUGAGCUAGCUGUUAGUUGCGAACCUCUGCGUUUUAGUUCAUACUUUAAAAAAGGUUGAAUAAUAAGAUAAACACUAUGAAGGAAGAUUUUGCAAUCAAAUUACAAGGUCAUAGUUAGCUAGUAGUCCAGAACAUGCUUCCUAUGCAGUCAAACAUGGACCACGUAAUCAAACACGACACCUCUAGCAAGCUUCAUUUAUCCUUAAGUUUGGAGGGACAGACAACAACAAGCUUUCAGAUGUUCUGAGGAGUACCAUUUCAGUUGUUUAAAUUUCUCACUUCCGAGUUUGGUGCACAGAUAAAAACAGUUUUUACACUUUUAUGAAGUAGCUUCAUUUCCUUUGUAAUACUGCAGUUCCUUCUAGCCACUUUUUAUAUUUUGCAAACAACUUUACUACCCGACUCAGAUGGCCACACGAAAAAAUAUAAGCGAGAAUUCAUUGUCAUCUUACUUGUGGAAGAUGACUAUUCUUUUUAGUUUUUUAUGCUUCAUAAGGUCUUACUUUUAUCUCCAAUUGUGCUCUUUGAAACAGCGGAAGCUUUAGCGGAGCAAGUUUCUCAAGAGAACUUCGAAAAGGGACUCAUAUACCCCCCAUUUUCCAACAUAAGAAAGAUUUCAGCGCAUAUUGCUGCCAAAGUGGCAGCUAAAGCAUAUGAAUUAGGUAUGUUUCUCCUCUGGAAAGAAGAUUCACAUGCCUAACACAUAUUUCUUAAACUCUGUCCAUUUUGUUGCUUAAUAGGUUUGGCCACUCGUCUACCGCAGCCCAAGGACCUAGUUGCAUAUGCAGAGAGCUGCAUGUACAGCCCCGCAUACCGCAGCUAUCGUUGAGUCAGAGAAGAUAUUGUUGCUUCAAAAUUAGUCAUUGUUCCUUCCAGUGUUAGUUAGUUAUUGAUGUCAUUCCUUUCUCUUUUUAGUUGGUUUGCUCUUAAAAUUUAUGUUCGAUCCUGCUAGUAAUAUACAGGCGACUGAAAAGAAAAUACGGUAGCUUGCAGAUAUGGUGUACUCGUGAAAUAUUUGAUUACGUUAAGACUUAAAUGUAGGGAACUUUGCAGCAUAAAAUCUUAGUGAGCCUCAUUGAUAUUGUUAAUUAUGAACACAACUGUCUCAGGGUGAUUAUAUAAAAUGUCGAAAACCUUUUAUCAUUGGUUGUGUCUUGCUGUUUCGUUCCUCUCUUGGAGCUGUUUGUUUUGAGUUUCUUUACUACUCGUCACUCGUUGACUUGUUAGUGCAUUGGAUUGGUAUGUUUACUUUAAGGUUUUUAUCCCUCCAUUGAUUCUUGUCUUGAACUGUAUUUUAGACUCCUCACUUGUUGUAAUGUAAACCCUUGACUAGUCUUGUUUAUUAGCUUUAGUGGCUCUGGUGUUACAUGGUAGACUAGGGUCAUGUUCUGGGACGGGGUUGGGGUGAGGGGCGAGAGGUAGGGGUGGUAAGGGGGUUACAAGAGCUGCGAGGCUAAGAGUAGGCUCUUGGAAUAUAAGAUCGUUAACGGACGAGUCUAUUGAGAUAGUGAGAAUUCUCAACAAGAGGAGGAUUAAUAGAACUUGUGUUCAGGAAACCGAAUAGGUAUGAACUAAGGUUCGGGAUGUGGAUGAGUAUAAGUUGUGGUACUCAGAAGGAAAAUUGAGUAGGCAUUCUAGUAGACAGAGAGCUGAAGGAGUAAGUGGUAGAGGUUAGGAGGGUCACCAAUAGGAUGAUGACAGUUAAAUUAUCAUCGGAGGGUUCACUGCAAGUGGGCUUGAACGAGAAGGACAAGAAGGCUUUUGGGAGGAUUUAUUGUUACAUAAUAUUGUGAAAAUAAUAAUAUUAUAUAAUGAAAUUAACAAAGUAGAAAUAAAUUAAUUAGAUAACAUACAAUAAAAAAUCUUAAUAUAACUCAGAUAUAUAAAUACCUAAAUGGUAACAAUUGACAGAAAAUAAACUUUUCUAAAAGGCAAAAAAAUAGAUUUACCUGGACAUUUUGUUGGAGCUGAGCAAAAUAAAACAAACAAAAAGAGUAGAUAAUUGUGGAAAAAAAGAAAAAUAACCAAAUGACUUGAAGCUUUGGUGUCUUGUAUAAUUAAGGUGGAAUGUGAAAAAUGACAGUUACAAAUAAUUAUUACCUUUAUUCGAUCAAUCUAACAUUUAAUAUUCAAUUUACUUGCACUAGUUAGACACCAUCAAUUUGAUCUGGAUACAAAAAUAUCAUAUAUUAUAUUAUGUACUCUACAAAUAUAUUAAUAGUUGGUAGUGGAAGAAACGGAUUAUUAAUUAUGACUCCAUAAAGGAUAAUGAUUCAACUUGGAAGAUUUGAAUAAAGAACGAAUUAGCAGGGGAAAUAUUAGUUAUUACAAUAACUAAAGAGUAUAUGUCCAAUUUUGUACAAAAAAAAUAUGAAUGUGUUUGUAUUUAUUAUUUAAGAUAACGUAUCUACAUUUUUACACAGAAAAUAUAAAAGGAAUAAUUUUUAAACUUAAAGAGUAAAGUCGUACUAUAAAAAUAAAAAAAAAAAUUUUUUUAAACUAAAGGGUAAAGUCGUAAUCCAACUUUGAGGUCAGGAGCUUUCCACUUUUAGUAUAACUAGUUCUAGAUACGUGUGUUGCACGUGUAAUCCAUAUUAAUUCUUCGCAAGAACAAUUAAAUUAUAAGUCAGUUUUUUGACAACUUUAUUAUCCAUAAAUUGUGAAGACUUGAUUAUUAUGUAGUUGGAAUAAAACAAAAUAAUGUCAUAUCACUAAAUUAGUGAACAAUUAUAAAGGAGGCGAUAGUUGUCGCAUGCCUUUGAUCUUGGAUUGGAUGGAAGGCGAGGUUAAAAUUUGUGAAGAUAGAAUGUUCUUAGUCUAAUAGGACUUUUAAUUAUGUAUUAGAGAUCCAAAAAUCAAUAGAUGAUUCUUCUCGUUCCUUUAUGACUUAUUUGCAUAUCGUAAAUUAAAUAUUAUUGAAUUAAUCCCCCUUUUUAAAGGUAUCCAACAUAGAGAAGUCAAAAGACAAAUUAUAGAGGCAAGAUCAUUUUUAAGAAAUGAUCAUUAUCAAUAAAUUAGAGAUAUUAUCAAAGAAAACAAAGUCAUAAAGCUUCGACAUUCAUGAUCAUUUUGAAAUAUGUACAUAGUGAUAUCUGCAAGAUUCCUACACAACUGUACUUUAAAAAUGUAACGAUGAGUAGAAAAAAAAUCAAAGAGAAGUUAUAUAUAACACAAAUACAAUUUAAGAAAUUAAUUGAACCAACUUUUCUAUGCUUACCUCCUAGAGAUAGCUAAAUAAGAAGACGAUAAAUAUUGCUAUACUAUUGAGUAUUACUAAGAUUCCAAAAGCUUGAUAAACUAUAUAUGACGACAAUAUUCUUAGCAUUCCAAACAAAAUUAUCUUGUUCUUUCAUUCAUGUGAGAAACACAACAUAAAAAGCACAAUAAUUUUUUUAGUAAAUAAUAACUAAAUGACUCAUAUUUAAAAUAUGAAAGGCUGAAUUUUUGUUACAUACCUGGUAAGUUUACACCUACUAUAUAUUAUAUUGUUUCAUCCAAAUAGUGAGAAUUAGUUAUAUGCUAAAUGUCCAUUUAUAUAAGAUAAAUUUAAUUUAUUCAAGUUAGAAAAUUCAUCAUUAAUUUAUGCUAAUUAUGAUUGAAGGAAAUCAAAAGUUUUGCAACAAUGUUUAUAGUAGUUAUUACUUAGAAUUUAAGAUAAUUUAUGAAUAUAAUUCAUUGAAUUUUUUUAUAGUUUUGCACUAUAGGAGUAUUUGAAGAGAUUGUUUUAAAUAUUGCAAAACUUUUGAUUUUCUUCUAUCAUUUAAUAAUACAAAUAUUCAUUGUAUUUAUAUUAAUUCAUGUCAUAAGUUGUGUUUUAACUUCCGAAAACUUGAAGUAAUAUUACGGGGUUUUCCAUUUCAGAUUAUUAUUGUUGUUGUUGUAUAUAUAAGAAUAGUGUUUAAUAGAAUAUGAUAAUAUUUAUAUAAGAAUAGUGUUUAAUAGAGAUAAUAUUUAUUAAUAAUUAAUGUGUAUUUACAUAAGUUGUGUUUUAACUUCCGAAAACUUGAAGUAAUAUUAUGGGGUUUUCCAUUUCAGAUUAUUAUUAUUACUAGGGAACGUAGCCGCGCUUCGCGCGCGCAUUAAGAUAUAUGUGUUAGAAUUAAUUUUCUUCCGAUUAAUUAUAUAUUCUACUAUAUUAUAUUUUCCAAUAUUAUCAUUAUCUUUUGGUUUAAUUGUAGGGAGAAGGGUAAAAAAUACUUAUCAAAUUUUGUUUAAUAACUAACUUUACCCUAUGUUAUACUAUGAAACCAUCCAUAACUCCGUCACCUACAAAUUUAUUAAUCAUAUCCUUCAAUUGCAUGAAAAACUCCAAAUCAAAUAAAAUUACCUGUUUUUCUUUAAAAAUAACAUAUCACCCAAUUUUAACCCAUGUCCGGUCCUCUAACUAUCUUAACCCAUGUCCGACCCUCUAACUAUAUUAACCCAAACAAAUUAAGCACAUGUCCGACCCUUCUAAUUUUGCCAUGCUAUGAGUAGUAAUGAUAGCCAUGAUUGCAAACAUAAUGCAAGUUCACUUUGUUUUAGUAUUUGAAUAAAAAAAAAAUGGUGAAUGAUGGAGUAUGUAGAAAUUUAUUUAUCCUUCAUUAAAACACAAUAUGAAAGAGUGUGUCAUUUCACUAAUGUAAUAUGAAAAGGUUAGCCAAAAAAUUGAUAAACUCAUAACAACAUAGUAGGCUAAUUUAUUAAAUUAGAAGUAAUAUCAAAUUAAUUGAAGUUCUUAAAAUUGAGAAUCAAUUAUAGGAAAGAUAAAAUGAAGUAUUUAAUAUUGUGAAUUGUGACUAUUGAUUAACAAAUUGAACAAAUGUGAAUGUUUAUUUUCCUUAUGUUCUUUUCCUUUACACCUCUUCAUUGCCUUCAUACUUUUUCAUUGCCUUUUUAAAAAAAUUGCAACAAUAAAUUAAAAUAUGAAAAGAAAAAAAAUCAAAUAAAGAAGAAAAAAGAUAAAUAGAUUUAUUGGCCAUAGAAAAGUGCACAUCUCAUUGUCUAUGCCUAACUUUAAUUAUUAUAUAUAGCUUUAGAGAUAGAAAUAAUAAACUUAUUCAUCUAAUUAAAUUGGGGAACAACUCCAAAAGAAUAAGAACUAAAAUUUCAAAAAUUAAAAUAAAAUCUUACAAAGACUUAAAUAAUAAUAUAAUUUAGUGUUGGACUUUGCUCAAAGAUCCCUUUUCUCCACAAUCGCAACAUCCAUGAUCACCUGUACAAAAAGAAAAAUAAGAACCUUGUGAUUUCCAUUAUGGAAACAUAAAAAAAUAUUGCACAUGUUGAAUCAUACUCACAUAUAUGAGGACGGUAUGCUAUAUCAUUAUUCCUCUACAAACAACACACUUACCUUUCCAUUGUGAGCAACAGACAAACAACACACUUCUCUUUCCAUUGUGAGCAACAAUAUCCUCCAAGAAGAUCACCUAGGCCCUAGACUAAUUGCACCUACUUAACAUAAUUGUCUUUACAGAACUUACAUUAUGUCAUUAGAACAUGACAUUAGAAAGAAUAGCAAUUAUAUGAAUCUAAAUUAGAACUACAUCAUGCUAUUCUUAUUUUUCGAAUAGUGAAGGUCCAUCACCAUAUAUGCUUCAUUUGAAAAAUGAAAUUGAAUAUCUCAUGAUUUUUUUCAAGUAUUCUAAAUUCUUGAUUCUUGAUUCAUAUUGAAAUAUUCUAAUAGAAUACCUGAAGUCUUUAAAAGGUUAAAAUCACAAUAAAUCAAGAAAAAAGAAAAAAAUAAGAGAGCAUAAACAAUAUGAUAACAAAAUAAAAAGAAGUUACAAUACACCUUUAAAUCAUGGCAUCCUCGAAAAAAUUAGCACAUCAUUUUCCUCCAUUCUUGUCACAAGAAAAUCCAAGCUUCUGCAACUCAAAAGAAAAAGUGUAAAAUUAAAAAGAAUAAGCUUGUAAAUGAGUUUCUGGUAAAAAUGAGAAGCUACAAAAUUAUGAGAAUUUUAUGAAAAUAUAAAGAAGAAUGGAAGGUAAAAAGGUUUGUAACCGAUUUGAAAUUAUAAUGAUUAAUUAGUAAAACUCAAUUAAUAGGAAAUAAAUGUGAUUGAAAUUUAUUCCAAUUUAAAAGGUAUUUUUUUAAAUAAAACGGAAGAGAUAUGAGAGAAGGAAAAGGAAGGGUCUUAGGUAGUAUCAGGGAUGAAAUAAAAAAAUAUUUUUAAUUUUCUGCUAAUUUUUAUGCCAACAAAUUAAACGAAAUUGAUUGAGACAAAAAUUAAUGGGAAAAAACGUUUAUGGUAAUAAGUAAAAGAGAGAUAAAUAAGAUAUUUUAUUUUUAGAAAGUUGUAGAUAUAAAAAGUAUAAUAUUAAAAUAUGAUAAUAAAAGGAUAAAUAAAUUAGAUUUUUUAGAAAAUUAUAUUUAAAAAAAAGGGUAAAAAAAGGAAUUUAAGGAAAAGUAAUUAAUUAUAGUAAACAAAACGUUUAUGGUAAUAAGUAAAAGAGAGAUAAAUAAGAUAUUUUAUUUUUAGAAAAUUGUAGAAAUAAAAAGUAUAAUAUUAAAUUCUAAUUAAAAAAAAAAGAUAAAUAAAUCAGGAUUUGUAAAAAAAUAUUAAAACAGAAGGUAAAAAGAGGAAUUUAGGGAUUAGUAAUUACUUAUAGUAAUGGUGAAGAGAGAUAAACAUAAUAAAUUGUAGUAAUAAUGAGGAGAGAUAAAUAAGAUAUUUUAAAUAUAUUUCUUUUUCUUCUUUUGGCAGAUAUUAGAGAUCAAAAGAAUAAAAAAAAAUUCAAAAAAUUGACAAAAAUAGAUAAAUUGUAAUCCUGGCCAAAUAGAGGUGCCACGUCAGACUUUUGUCAUCCAGCUUUAUAUAUAUAUAUAUAGAUUGUUGUUGUUGUUGUAUAUAUAAGAAUAGUGUUUAAUAUAAUAUGAUAAUAUUUAUAUAAAAAUAGUGUUUAAUAGAGAUAAUAUUUAUUAAUAAUUAAUGUUUAUUUACAUUUUUGUUCAUCAAUAUUCAAUAUUAUGACAUUUUAUAGUUUUGCACGGUAGGAAUAUCUGAGGAGAUUGUUUUAAAUAUUGCAAAAUUUUUGAUUUUCUUCUAUCAUUUAAUAAUAUAAAUAUUCAUUGUAUUUAUAUUAAUUCAUGUCAUAAGUUGUGUUUUAACUUACCGAAAACUUGAAGUAAUAUUAUGGGAUUUUCCAUUUUAGAAUAUUAUUAUUAUUAUUAUUUUUGUCCAUAAAUAUAUAAGAAUAGUGUUUAAUAUAAUAUGAUAAUAUUUAUAUAAAAAUAGUGUUUAAUAGAGAUAAUAUUUAUUAAUAAUUAAUGUUUAUUUACAUUUUUGUUCAUCAAUAUUAUGACAUUAUAAAGACAUUUGCGUAAUUCAACUUUUGACUUGGAGGCUUCUCACUUAUAAUAUAAUAUAUGAAAUAUGAUAUGAUGAUAUAUAUAUAUAUAUAUAUAUAUAUAUACACACACACACGCAUACACACUGAAAGUGAGAAACUGUGAAGUGUAAAGUUGGAUUACCAUUUUACUCCUAUAUCAAAAAAUAUUAUAAAAUAUCUAAUUAAUUAAAUAUUAAAUAGUAACCACACCAUAUUAUUCUAAUACUAAUACACUUAUACUAAACACUAAACAAUAAACAAUAAACACUAAACACUAAUACCAAAUAUGUUAGAUGUGGAAGUUAAAGUCAAAAGUUGAAAGACAAAAAUAUUCAUAAAAAGUUGUUAGACAUUUUUGCCUUUUUAAAAUAUAAAUAGGCAUUUUUAGAAUCUUCUUUUUAUAUUUAAGUUCAUUUCUCUCCUUUAAUAUCUAUAUUAUAAAACUACGUAGGGACAAAGUGGCGUGACAUCUCUCCAUAACCAACAUUCUUAUAUAUCCUUUUCUCCCAUAGUUUUGGCCUUUUCUUCUCAUAUUUCCUCCUUAACUAAUUUUAAAAAAAUCACGAGUAACAUUUAUUUUUAUUUAAGACAAUGAAAAAUGAAAAUAAUUUAUGUCCCCAUAAUUUAUUUUAGUGUUUUAACAUGUCAAUUAUGUAAAACUUUGUUUUCAAUUUCUAAAACAUUUCAUUUCCAUUGUCUUUAAUUUUAUCUCUUUGUACUAAAUGAAUGAACUAUAUAUGUUAUGGUGGUGAAGAAAUGAAUAUGUUGGGCACCUAAUAUUUCUUCUUUGUAAAAUACUUGGCUUAAUUCUUAUUCAAGCAUGCUGGUAAACUUUGUCUCUGGUUUUGUUCAAAAUAAGUAUUUUCUUAUUCUUGAGAAAAUAUGACGCAAAUAUUAGCAAUAUAGAACAAGAAAUAGAGAGUAAAAUGUAGAGAUCAUCUUAUUCAAAUGUUUUCAAUUGAAUUUCACAAUGGUGAAUGACAAUCUUAUUUAUAACUUGAGAAAUCAUUCCAAGUCACUAUGUCAAAUGUCAUAAUUAAUAAAUACAUUCUUAUCCAAAAUGAUUCAAAAAAACCUAAGAAAUAUACAUAAAUGUAAGAAGUUCAUGUAUUAAUUAAUAGACAAUCCAUUAAUUUAAUGGAUUUAUAACACCUCUUAUACAUAAUCUGCAAUUACUUCCCUCUUAUGACCUCUACCUUUUAUGUUUCCUAUUUAAGCGUNNNNNNNNNNNNNNNNNNNNNNNNNNNNNNNNNNNNNNNNNNNNNNNNNNNNNNNNNNNNNNNNNNNNNNNNNNNNNNNNNNNNNNNNNNNNNNNNNNNNNNNNNNNNNNNNNNNNNNNNNNNNNNNNNNNNNNNNNNNNNNNNNNNNNNNNNNNNNNNNNNNNNNNNNNNNNNNNNNNNNNNNNNNNNNNNNNNNNNNNNNNNNNNNNNNNNNNNNNNNNNNNNNNNNNNNNNNNNNNNNNNNNNNNNNNNNNNNNNNNNNNNNNNNNNNNNNNNNNNNNNNNNNNNNNNNNNNNNNNNNNNNNNNNNNNNNNNNNNNNNNNNNNNNNNNNNNNNNNNNNNNNNNNNNNNNNNNNNNNNNNNNNNNNNNNNNNNNNNNNNNNNNNNNNNNNNNNNNNNNNNNNNNNNNNNNNNNNNNNNNNNNNNNNNNNNNNNNNNNNNNNNNNNNNNNNNNNNNNNNNNNNNNNNNNNNNNNNNNNNNNNNNNNNNNNNNNNNNNNNNNNNNNNNNNNNNNNNNNNNNNNNNNNNNNNNNNNNNNNNNNNNNNNNNNNNNNNNNNNNNNNNNNNNNNNNNNNNNNNNNNNNNNNNNNNNNNNNNNNNNNNNNNNNNNNNNNNNNNNNNNNNNNNNNNNNNNNNNNNNNNNNNNNNNNNNNNNNNNNNNNNNNNNNNNNNNNNNNNNNNNNNNNNNNNNNNNNNNNNNNNNNNNNNNNNNNNNNNNNNNNNNNNNNNNNNNNNNNNNNNNNNNNNNNNNNNNNNNNNNNNNNNNNNNNNNNNNNNNNNNNNNNNNNNNNNNNNNNNNNNNNNNNNNNNNNNNNNNNNNNNNNNNNNNNNNNNNNNNNNNNNNNNNNNNNNNNNNNNNNNNNNNNNNNNNNNNNNNNNNNNNNNNNNNNNNNNNNNNNNNNNNNNNNNNNNNNNNNNNNNNNNNNNNNNNNNNNNNNNNNNNNNNNNNNNNNNNNNNNNNNNAAUAAUUAUUAUUAUUAUUAUUAUUAUUGUUUAGAUUAGUCAUAUAAAGAGAUUUGUUUAUCAUAUAAAAGAAUUUUUGGACAUAACAUGUAAAUAGGUUUUACAGAUCAGGUAUUAGGUCAAAUAAUAGUUGUUAAAAUGGAUUGGGUUUUUAACACUCUUUUUUGGCUUAAAAUCAAGAGUCAUGUCAUCAAAAUUUAGCUAAAUAUGUACCACUUUUAAACUUGAGUAAUCUUUUGAAAAAAUAAUAAAAAAUAAGUGAGUUUUAUGAUAUAAAAAAGAAGAAUAAUCUUUUGAGUGAUAUAGCAAACAAUAAAGAAUUUUUUCUAAUCAAAUAGAAUUAUUUUUUUACCAAGCAUGCUAUUAAAUUAGAUAGUUUAUAAAUACUUUUAGAUUUUUUUUAAAAGUUAAAAAUGAUUCAUAUAAUUUUAUCAGCUUUUGACAAAUGGUUAAUAGAUCUAAGAAUUUGUGAUAUAAAUCGAUGUUGACAUGGAUAACCAAUUCAGAAUCUAGAAAUAUUUAUCAACUUUAGAAUGAGAGUUAGAAUAAUAAGACACUAAAGAUUUCGAUUCAAUUUCUUCAUAGCAUAAAAAAAAUUAUUAUGGACUUACCACAAUGGAACAACAACCAUAGACCAUCCUAAACAUUGAAAGAAAAUCCAAAAAAAUCAAUGAACAAAAACUUCUCAAGUGAAAUACAUUCAUAAACAUUUACUAGGAUGCAAAUAACAAGUCAUUUGCAGAUAUUGAUACAUUCUUAAAAAUUAAGCAAGUGUAUAGUUAUUUAUCUGAAGAUAACCUGCUACUUGUUUCCUCCAUGUAGUUCCAUAAAAAUGUAACUUUACUUCCAUAAAAAAUAAUGUAACAAUUGAAAGCGUUAACAAAAAAAUAAAAGAUGCAAAAAGCUCAAGAAGAUCAUUCAUAUAACAGAGAAAACGAGUCAGCGACUAAAUGAAAUGUAGGGUUUUGAAGGCUAAAGGAAGAAGAGUGGAGAUUUUACAGAUCAAAUUUUUUUUUGAACUUUUUAAGAGAUUUUAAAUUUACUUCACAACUAUAUUAAUUGGCAAUUAGUCCUUUAUUUUUGACUAAACACAUAUAUAACCUUUUAAAUUUUACGUUCAGUGUCAUUUUGAUACUUCAACUUUUUAAUGAUUAUUUUCAUAUCUUUACAUGAUGGAUAUGUGUCUCAUGAAUAUCUCACGAUGACAUGACAAAUCAUGUAUCUUAGCUUAUACUAGUAGAUAUAUAAAUAUGAGGAAAAAUAAAAAAGAAUAAUAUUAAUAUUGUGAGAAUGGAAAAGAAAUACGUUCGACUUUCUAUUAACCUUCUACCUCCACACCUUCCUAUCAAUGGUCAUGUCCUCAGUGAGUUCAAGUUGCAUCAUGUCCUACCUAAUCGCCUCACUUUAAUACUUCUUAGGCUUACUUUUACCCGUUCUCAGAUCCACACUGUCCAACCUCUCACACCUUCUAAUCGGGCAAAUGCACAUCUCCUUUUCAUAUGCACGAACCACCUAUCUCACUUUUUGCAUCUUGUCCUCUAUGGAGGACACUCUCUCCUUAUAAGAAUAAUCUCAUUUCUAGUCUUAUCUCUUCUAGUAUGAUCAAACUUCCACCUCAUCAUGCUCAUUUAUACAACUCUCAUCUUCUUAACAUGCGAGUUCUUGAUUGAACAACACGCAGUCAUAUAAAUCAUAGUAACUCUAACCUUUAUUUUGUAAAACGUACCUUUAAAACUAGGUGACACAUUCUUAUUACACAUGAUAUUGAAUGAGAGUCUAUUUCAUCUAUCCUACCUUAAUACAAUGAGUGACAUCCUCGUCAUCCUACCUAUUACCUUGGAUUAUUAAUAACCCAAGUACUUAAAACUUUCUCUCUUGGAAAUGACCUGGGUGUUCUCACAUCCACGUUCACUACAUGAGACACAUCACUGAAUUUACACUUUAAAUAUUCAAUUUUAAUUCCACUCAACUUAAAAUAUUUUAAUUCUAGGGUCUUUCUCCAAACUUUCGAUUUCGCGUUAACUCUAGCUCACAUCUUGUCAAUUAGUACUACUGAAAGCACAAUAUUAUUAAUGUAUGAGUUUAACAUCAAUAUUAUUUUAAUAACACAUUAAACCGAACGACCCUUCCAUAUCCAAUAGCGGGAAUAUCAAUAUGUAGUAAUAAUUUGGAGAAACUACGUAGUUACACAAACAUUUCUACCAUAUUUACUAAUUCUCCUUAUGGUUUGAAAUAAUUGUAUUUUAUAUACUAAUUUAUAAUUUUAUACCAGAUUUCAAGCGAAAUACACCUAGACACAUAUUUUUUGUUACUAGAUACAUUGAAAUAGGGAGAGAGUCGAGAGAAUAGUAGAGAGCCAAUGACAUUUGUCUAUGUAUCCCAGAUACAUGCGAAUCACACUAGAUACAUGUAUCGAAAGUGAUUCACAUGUAAUUGGAUACCAGAUACAUAGAAGAGUGGUGAGCGAGAUUGAAGGGAGACGAGCAAAAUUUUUCUAUGUAUCUUAGGUACAUGUAAAUUUAAUUUGAUGCAAUGCAUCUAGAACAAAUUACACCUAAUUUUGACUCAUAUAUCCCAAGAUACAUGUAACUGAAUGUAUAUGGACGCAUCAAAAUCUAUUAAGAUUAAUAAUAUUGUAAAAUAACAUGUAUCUAAGUAAUUAACUUCCGAACUAGUGAAAAUUUUGUAAGUUACCUUAGUUAUUAAUUAGGAAAAACUACAUAAAUGAGCCAUUAAACCCAAAAUAAUUACAAAUCAGUUCAAGUAUAUCUCACACAAAUUGUUAUGUAAGAUGUGUUAUUUACUUGAAUAAUUUUAUACAAAUUUAAGCAUCUACUUGUGUGCACCCAAAGUUGAGGGUCAUAGAUGAAAAAUCCCUAAAUUUGAAACUCCACAUUAGAUGUUAAGUGAAGCCAAGUUAAAGAACACAUUAUGUAUUACACCUUUAUAUUAUCCAUCAUACAAUGAUGCAUUGUUAUCUCACUCACACUUAAGUUAAUUUGAAAAAUAGGCCUUGAAAAUAAGUUCAUGAUUAUUCUAUAAGCAUAGCAUGAAGUGUUCUACAUUUUACACUGUGGAUUUUACCAUACUAUUAUAGAUGCAUAACAUAUGACAAUCAACUCCAUAUCAAAAGUUCUCAAAUUGGAAGUAAACUAUGCCAAACCAUCACACUGAACAGAAUCAGUGACCCUAUAUUUUCUCUUAAAUGUGAGAAAAUAAAAGCAAUUACAAAGAAGCCAACAAUUUACAUAAAACACCACAGUAUUAAGUAUGUUAGACACCCUAAGUUCUAUACAAUGACAAAGAAUGAAUUUUCAGCUAAAUUCACCUACUUGCUGCUUCUUUGAAAGUACCUACCCUAUGUCACAUAGAUGAGAGGGAAGAGAACAUGUACUUACACCCUUAAGAAAAACAAGGUAGACUCAUCCCCAAUAGGUUUAAAGUGCUUGAAUCGGAGCAGUUUCACCCUUGGUAAUCUCUGAGCUUUUGACUGGUGCGCUAGCAUGAAAAGCUGAUUGUCGUGAUGGUUCUGCUGUUAGCUUAAGGGAGAGUGGUGAAGGCUCAAUAAGGCCAGAACCAGUGUCUGCUAAAGUGAGCUGGGACAUUCCCACCAGUUCAUCUACAUUCACGGGUUCUUUAGGGACGGAUGGAAUUGGCUUGAGGAUCUGAUGAUGAGACGGUUCUGCUCCUCUAUCUUCAGGGACCGGGAAGGCAUUUGAUGGCCAGAAGGGAUAUGGAACUGGAAUGUAAGCUGGGAAGAAUGCUGGAAAUACUGAAGGAAUUUCGCUGAUUGUGGUAUUUGGUUUCGUUUCUUCAACAGGUUCACUUGGAGCGGUUUCCAUGGAUUCAAAAUCUGACUUGAGAGAAAGUUCUAAGGAAGGGAGUGAAUCUGCAAAAUUAGUUUCUAUUGCUUUUGUUGCGGAGGGUGCUAACUGUUCCUUAUCACUUUCCAUUGCUCUAGGUGGGAGCAUAAAUUGUUCUUCCGGAAGUGGAUGGGAAGCAUCAGCAGCCUGUUUAACAUCAUAGAAAAGAAACAUAAAAAAGGAUCAAAACAAAAGUCCUAAGAAAGGACUUCACCAAAAGCCCCAGAUAACAUAGCAAAACAGGAAAGCUCAAGUUUCACCCCGCGGAAACAGGAAGAGAACUUUUCUCAUACGUCGUAACAUGAGAUGGAUGACCAAGUAACUAAGAGUAGACAUGCUGCAACGGCAUGUCAACUGCCUAUGCGUUUGGGUGGGCUUGGGCAGGGGUAGCUUUAGGCCUUAACUAUAGUGCACAGCAAUGCCUAUAUGGUCAUAAUAUGAUCAUUAUCCAAAGCUUAAGUUUGAGAAGCAAGACAAACCGUAUCAGCAACAAUGUCAAAAAGACUGGAUCUUCUCUUUCUCCGAGUAGCAUUACUCUGCCGAAUAAAAUACUUCUGGGCAUGGCUAGCUACUUGGGUAGGAGUCCUUGACGUCACAAAGUUUCGCGAUAUACCCCGCCAAUCUCCUUUGCCCAAUUUUUGUAGCCCGAUCAAGAAAAGCCGGUGCUCUUCCUCUGUCCAUGGAAUGCCUACAAACACAUCCGAGAAAUUAGUUCACAACCAACUUUCCUCCACACACCUAGGUGAUAAAUUUGUCACCUAAAGUUGGAGUUAGUGACAAAACUCUCUCAGCAAAUCAUCCCAACAAACAAAAGUGAGAUCCAAAAAGGAAAGGGAAAUAUUUGCUUCUGUUACUGUCAAUUUACUAGAAUAAUAAAUAGGUUAGUCGUAGGAGGAGUUUCUGUAUAAAUAAAAAAUUAUUAAAUUUUAUGUAAGAUAUUUAAGGCUUUCCUCAAUGCUUAAUAAAAAUUAAGAGAAUUUCAAUCAUUUUGCUGCUCCACCCUUUUAAAAACCCACCCGUGGUAUAAGAUCUUCCAUUGAUCUUAUUUUACUGGAUCUGUGAGUUCACUGAAGAAGAAAACCUUCCAUCCACUAAACUAUACCUAUUUCCAAUUCAUUUUUUAACUCGUGCUUAUUUUUAACGCAUGAGCCUUUUUUUAACUCUUGCUUAUUUUUAACGCUUGAGCCCAAUACCAAUUUUUAAUAUAGGGAUACAACCAAUACUUAAUUUAAUACAUACCUAUUUUAAUCAAGACAAGCAUCAAUAUCUUUUUGAAUCACGGAUGAAAAUUAUCAAAAUUGGUCAGUGAAGUUCAAGUUUUACUUUGAAACCUAUGAUCUAUGAGACAUUAUAAUGGAAGAAAAAUCCUCACGACAAAUUUUUGCAAAUCCUAUGGUUGUCCAAAUUAAAAGAUCUUUCAUACAAGACAAUAUAAUUGAGGAUGAUUUAUGCACAACCAAAAGACAAAAUAAAGGAGGAGAAGGAAAAUCAUGUUACAAAAAAAGUGUGCAAGUUCAACAACACUCAAAAGAAUUCACAAGCACAAACUACCUAAGCAGAAAUUUUGAGGAGGAACAACCUUAUUAGAUUGCAGCAACUGAAGCAGAGGAGUGUUGAAUAUUUGAUUUUGUUGCUACAAAUUUACAAGAACAAUUAGUAGUGUAGUUGUAGGAUGAGUCUUUGUUUAAACUUAAAUUUAGUUGGACAAAUUUAGUUGAGAUAUUUUAGGUUUUUAUAUUUCAUUAUGCAUUUUUUCUUUUGCAAAUUUUCUACUUUUAAGUUGGCUUUUUAAAAGACCCUCUACACCAAUAACAUACUAAAUGUAGUCUCACACAGUGGGGUCUGGAGAGGGUAGAGUGUACAUACACCUUACCUCUACCUAGAGAGGUAGUUUCCGAUAGACCCCCGGCUCAAGACAAAAGUAGUCUAGAAAAAGACAUAAUGGAAGAACAAGAGACAAUAAAUAGUAACAAAAACCACAGAUAGUGACAAAAUAGUACUAUUACAAACAAUACAACAAACGAACUAUAUGAAAUAAUAGAUGGUAACAUAAAUUGAAGAACAUGAAACUACAGAAGUAGCCUUACAACUACUAGUAAGGGAAACAAGACAAAGCACUCCUACCUACUAGUAUGGACACUCUUCUACCUAUUAACAUUCUACCUUAAUUCGUGUCAUUCACACCUUCCUAUCUAAGGUCAUGUCCUUCUUAUCACACAUGACUCUGAUGCGAGCCUCCAUUUCAUCCACCCUACCUCUAUCUUCUGUUCAAAAACACUCUAUGCUUAAUAAAAAUUAAGAGACAAUUCCAAUGUUUAAUCUUUUUGUUGUUCCACCCUUUUUAAAAAACCAACAAAAACCACAAAUUGAGAAAAGAAAAGCUUUCUAUUCCAAAAACUUUUGUUUAAGAUGAUAUUCCAUGAAUUCUCAUGCAUCUCUGCACAACUCUAAGAAUUUGAGAAGAUAACAUUUUAGACCGAACUUAUCACGCACCAAAUCAAGAUGGUAGAUGGCAUCAUUAGUUGAACAGCAACAUGCUAUGUCCAAUUGUAAGGGAGUGAGUUAAAUAAGAAUAUUUGAUAAAUGGACUUGAAAAUAAUUGCAAGAGCACAUCAUUUCUUCUUUAGAAGCCUCGUAGAUAACAAAGUUAAACCGUUACUGUUUAGACGAAAAGACUAUUGGAUCAAUGACUUGCUAUACAACUUUAUUCUAAAGAAACAACCAUGUCAUUACUACAAGCACUAUUGGUGGGAUCACAUUUUGUGUCACCCUGCUUAUUAUGUUGAUCUUUUCAGUUUAUCUUCUCCAUAGAAAGGAGGACGGAAACUACACGAAGAAGUAUAAGAGAAACCAAAACCUCCAUUUUAAGCUGCAUUACCAAAUCACAGACAAAUGUCAACUUGAAGAUGCAUCGAUGUAACACGAAUUACAGUAGAAGGACUAAUAUUUUGAUUAUGAUCAGCAACCGUAGGAAGAGCUAGCCAACUAGAUAACACUAUAAAUCACAUUGAAUGUAUUUGUAUCAAGUGAAUAAGAAAGGUGCACUUUCACACAAAUGCAUUAACCACACCACAAGAACGGGCCCCUUUUUGUUCAUUGAUGCAGUAAACACACAAGUGAAUAAGAAAGUUUCCAUUUCACACAAACACAGUAAAGCACACCAGAACAAAGCUAUAUUAAUAACUAUUUUCCAACAUCAGUUUGUUUUAUCAUCAACUAUUGCAACAUACUGACACUGUAUGAAUUUCAAACAGUAUGAAGCGCUAUAGACCAAAUUCACUAUUUUAUAUCAAUUCCACCCUACCACUGCAAACAUCUUACAUCCAAUGAUCAUCACAUUCAUUAAUAUCUAUAGCAGGAAGCAGUAAAUUUCUCAUUUCCAUUUAUUUACCGUCGAUAAAUUUGAGUCAUUAAGAAUGAAAAACAACAGCUAAAAAUGAAAGGAUUGAUUUACUUUACAUUCCCUAGAAGAAAUGUGACCGAGAGGGUGCAUCCAUUCUCAUGGCUAACUAGGAUAUAAUUGACAUUUGGAGUGUGACAAAGGUAUGAAGUAAGUUGAAAUCAUCCAGUAUAUUGAGAAGUAGAGGAUACUGAAAAGUGGCAUAAAGAUGUGGCAUUGAAAUGCCUUGAAAGGAAGGAGAAACAAAACAAAGGUUACAGAAGAUCUGCAUCAGAUGUCCAAAAAGGCAGCUGAUCUUUACUCUUCCAGGCGAUGUUAUAAGAACUUUUGAUUUUAUAAAAUUGAUCAAGAUGUUCAGAUGAUGAAUAUGACUUCAACAUUUUUUUGGUCACAAGUUGACAAAAAUUCAUGAAGGCACUAUUAGACAUCUAAGAAGGGGCAUACUGGUUACUUACAACUUGACAGAAACAGUAUUUUCCAAUCAAAAGAGGAAAGGCAGCUCAAUUCUCAAAAAAUACAAAGUUGCAUAGAGUGCAAAAAUGAAAGACAAUUGAAGUGAAUAUGCAAGACGUAGCCAAAAAAGGGGAUCCUUGGAGCAAUGGUACAGUUUUCUAUAUCACUUAGAGAUCAUUGGUUUGAACCAUGGAAUCAACAACUGGUGCUGGCCUCGUGAUAGGCUGCUUACAUUACAUCCCUCCUUUAUGGUGUGGCCCUUCUUUGGACCUUAUGUGAAUGCAACAUUUCAUGCAUUGGGCAACCCUUUUUAUUAUGCAAGCCGAAACCAAACUAUUCCACAAGAAACAUUUUUUUAUAAAAAAAACAAAAACAAAAAAGAGCUCCACUUAUUCUGGACAUUUGAUAUUAAUUGGAUUACCUAGUGCGAGUAUCUAGCCCACAACUUAACCUUCACACUGAGCACACCAGAAAUGGUAUGCAAGUUUCCAUAUACCAAAACUGCUCGAAAAAAUUAACUUAGAGACAAUUCAACCAGCAAGAACAUGCAAAAAAUCAACCAGCAAAAACAUGCGACAAAUCAACCAGAUCGACCUAACAAGAAUUAUCUACUUGUACUUCGGAAACUCAACUGUUGGCAAGAGGGAAAGAUGGUUCUCUUAUAGGGUUUUAGGCAAUCAUCACUUAUUAUACUAGAUUUUGAGAUUGAGUUAGACCCAAAAACCACUUCUGUUCACAUGUUAUCAGAGCCACACACAUUCAUGUUCUUGGUUUAUACAACAUUGGGCCCUCAUAUUAUGUUGUCUAUGCUCUAGAUUUCCAGUCCUAUUGUGUGGGGUGUCAGAGUGUCUCACAUUAGUUGAGGGGUGGACUGUUUUCUCCUCAUAUGGUCUUAGACAAUGCUCACUUAUAUAGCUAGCAUUUGGGAUUGAGUUCCAAGGUUGAAUUAUCAGGCACAAAAGAUACCAAAAAAUAAAUCCCGGACACAAACAACAUAACAUCUAAGAUAUACAUCAAAUAUAAAGCACAACAGCAAUAUAUUACAGAAGAUGCAGAAACAAAAGCAUUAAAAACCUAAAAGGGAAAAAAGAACCAAAACAAAAGAAGGAGAAAAUACUAAACCAACUUUUAAGAGAAGAAAAUACCAACUAAGUACCACCAAUCAAAGAUGCAAACUGAAACAUCAACCUCUUACCUCUCUCCCUCUGCCCCAAGAUAAAGAGAAAGCAAAAUACUAAAAAGAUAGUCUCAUUUUGUAAAAACAAACAAAUUAGGAUGGAGGAAAGAAGGGGGUAGGGGUUUGGCCGGUGUAUAUCAAUCAAUUUGCCCAAAAAAAGUUGGCUUGGUUAUAUGAGUAUUGAAUCUUAUGUAGUAUUCAAGUAAAUCAUCACAGUCACAUAUCAUGCGCAACAUAGACCUAAUCAUCCUACCUAUCCAAGUUAAUAAAGAGGGAAGUGUAAAAUUGCAAAUGAACAAAAUCAAUGGAAACAAAAAAAAAACUUUCUUAUUUUCUACUAUAAAACAGACAAAAAUAAGAGGGAGAAAAGGAGAAGGGGUUUAAAGAUGAAAAUCAAUAUCAAGCACUACGUAAAUCUAACCAUCCUGCCUAUCCAAUUAUUAUUAUCUUUUUCCUCGAGCUAAAUGACUAUCAGAAACAGACUCUACUACCUUCUCUAAAGUAGGAUAAGGUCUGCUUACACUCUACCCUCCCAGAGCCCCUUUCUAGGAUUAGGGAAAACACAUAAAAGUUGCAAAUCAACUAAUCAAUUAAACCUCAACCACAAACUAGUCACCACAGUAUUCCAUACGCUCUAUUCAGGCAUGCUACUAGAUUUGUUUGUCCCGAAAAAAGAUUAAAUUUCGAAAAUUCCUCAUAAUUAAACUAAUUUUAAUCUUGCUUCCAAGGAAUAAUUCAUCUAUACUUUGCAAAUGAACAGCAGUAAAUAAGCCUCAAUAUCACAUUCAUUUCAACAUUUCAUCAAUUUUGAAAAAAUUAAAAAUUUAAAAAAAAACAUCAUACCUUUUUUCCUUUCAAUUCUAUGAUUUGCAGAACACGAAGCAUGAGCAGGAUCAUCAGAGAGAUAACCAUCAGUCAAAUGAACAGAUUCACGAAGAACAUCAGAAGAAGGAGAACCAGGAUUAGGCGAAGCAGCAGCGGAAGAAGAAGAAUGAUAGUGAAGGGAGGAUAGAUUUCCCAUGCUCGCACUUUUCUUCAUGAUCGACCCAUCCGUAAGCCUAACACCAAACAACCGCACACCUCCGCCGCCGGAGCUACCACCACCGACACCGCCGGUGACGCCACCUCUGGUAGGACAAGUCCGGGAAUUAUGGCCAUUGUUGUUGCAAUGGGAACACCGCCGAGUCAUGAUGAUUGACUCGGCGAGUAAAUGGAUAAGAUUUAAUUAAUAUUAAUUUAUGAUUAGGAGUUAGUUUUUUUUUGUUGAUGUUGGUUUUGAAGGAGAAAGGUUUAUAAAUGGUGGAUAAGAAUAUGCGAAUAAUAAGGUGGAGAAGGAGGGAGAUAAAAGAGGAAAAGACUUCAGUUUGUGGAUGGGAGUGUACAAUAACAAGAGAGAGAAAAAAAGGAAACUUGCUUAUAUUUUCCUUUUUCUCUUUUGUUUUCUCCCUACUCUAUUUUUUUUUUUUUUUUCAUUAGCGUGUUUGGAGUUCAUAUUGGAGUAUCGAAUAAAUUUGAAUUACAUAUUACAAUAUGUAGGGUCUAUUUGAGGUAGUGCUCCUAAUAGAAAUUUUUCUAUACCCAUGCUCGAAUCUGAGAUGUCUUGUUAAGUCCCUACUUGAUGUAAUGAUUCGGAAACUCGAGUCAUGUUGACACCUAUUGUAACUCACGAAUAAGUAAGUCUACCCCAUAUCCUGAAACCACAAGUAACAAGCUUAUCGGGAAUCAACGACCAAUGAGAAGAUAAUAACAAGAAAAAGAAACACACUGUGGAAAGAAGGAAAUGAGACAAAUAUAUACAAGUACAAGAUCAAAUCCCAUGACCUAGUGGACGAAGGUACAAAAUUGAUAAAACAAGUACAAGCUACAAACUAGACUAAAUAGGUACAUACUUGUCUCAAGUACAAAAGACUAGCUAAAACUAUAUACAAAUGGAGAUAAGUUGAACUACGACAUAAUCAACUCACUCUCUAUCUUCGCAGAUUUUCGUUGAAGUUUGAAAUCAACGCUAAUGACUGGUGCUCAUAUAUAUGUCAAAAAAUAUGUGCAUAGUAUACCUAGAAAAUCAAAACAAUAGGUUUGUUGAUGCUUGAUUUGAUAUAUUUGUUAAAAAUAAUAAAUAAAAUAAUAAUUUUUUAUAUAAUUAUUUUUAAUUGAGGUGUGUAAAAAUUAAUUAUAUAAAUUAUAUAUAAAAUGUUGUUAAUUUAUCGAUAUUUAUUGAAUUAGCUAUUUUUAAAGGCUUUUGUAAAUUCUUUUAAUUGAUUAAUUAAUUCAAUUUUUUAUUUUAAGUUUUUGUUGAUAGUUAAAUCGAUAACCCAUUUAUUCCUAAUUAAUUAUGCAUACAAUAAUAACUUUAAAGUUUUAACACAAAUUUAAAAAAAAAUAAAAAAUUAAAUUAAUUAAAAAUUUAAAGCAACCUUGUUUACACCCAAUUCUCAGCACCAACAUCGGUUGUGGUGCACUGGUGGGAGUGUUUCACUCUUAACCAGAGGUCUCGAGUUCGAGCCCUGGGUAUGGAGAAAAUCUUGUUGGGAGCGCCACCCCCAAAUGGGCCCUGCAGAGCGCGAUCUGGAUAUAGUCAGAGCUCCAAUGUGGACUCCGGACACCGAGUGGAAAACCAAAAAAAAAUUUCUCAACAUCAAUUGGAGAGUAUAAUUACACAAUUUCAAUUAAACUCAAUUUGUUUCAACUUUGUAAUUACUGAUCAAACAAUCAUGUUAAACUGUCUAAUUACAUUUAAUUUUGCUCAUUUAUAAUUCCCUUGUGGCUUUUCAAACAAAUUAUAAAUUCCUAUUUUCCUCCAAGUUUGCUAGUUAACCAAUACUUACAUAUUUCUUCUUAGAAAAUGACUUGAUGCAUAUGUUCAUUUAUGUCGUUCUUGUUUUUUUAGAGAGAAUUGAGCGUUGUUAUUAUUAUGGUUGUUAGAUGUAGAUUAAGACUUUUGGACCUCCUUAAAAUAUGAAAUUGUUAUGACUUUUGAGUAUAAGCAUCAAAUGUUGAGACAGAGACUUGUCAUUGUGCCACGUAAAUUUAUUUAGUAAGUAGCAAAUAGUGUAUACAUGAACAAAAGAAAAUUAACAAAAAAAAUUAAAAAUAAAAUGAGGAGCAUUUGCUUAUUGGUUCAAAUCAAAUAACCAAAAACAAUAAUUAAUACGCUAUUGAUUUGGUUAUCGCUUUAGCUUGUUUAUAAAUAAUUUCUUGAGGUAAUAAUGAUUAGUUAAGUGAAUAAAAUCAACCCACAUUAGGGGUGUGCGCUAUUCAGAUUAAACCGAAUAACCAAACCAAAUCAAACCGAAUUUUUAUUUGGAUUGGUUUUUUGGUUUUUCGGAUUGGUUUUGGAUUAAUAAAUUACUUUGUUUGGUUUAAUGUUUAGAAUUAAGUUGCAGUUAACCACUUUUGUCCCUUUUUGGUUAUUGCCUUUCAUGAUGAUUACAUUUGUAUUUUAUGUUUGAAUUACAUCUAUAGUAGGUAUACUUAUAAGUAUUGUGUUUUAAGUUUUACUUAUGAUUUAUAUUAGAAAGUAUAUUUAAGGGAUUAAAUAUUAUUACUUUGGUUAUGUUAUUAAUUAUUGACAUAACCGAAUAACCAAAUCGAAAAAAGCCGAACCGAAUAGGGGAAAAUCAAACCAAACCAAAUUUAUUUUGGAUCGGAUUGGGUUACACUUUUACAAAACCAAAAACCAAAAAAUUCAAACCAAAUAGUGCAAAACCAAACCGAAAAACCGAAUGCACACCCCUAACCCACAUAGAGUGACUUUGAGGGAGAUAGGUUGGGUAUUGUAUUUUAACAUUGUCUUUGUUCUAAUUUAUGUGAUAUAUUUAAAUAAAAAUACAAUCAAUUUCUUACUUAUGUCGAGUCCACUUAUUUGACAAAAAAAUCCACAAAGAUAUAAUCUUCUAUUUAAAAUUUUAUUUAUCUUAAAGAUAAUUUAGAUAUAUUGCAAAAAAGUUUCAUAUUUUUUAAAUUUUGUAUCCAGUUAAAUAUUACAUUAUUUAAAUUGAGACGGAAUACUAGAUAUCUUUUUAUUUGGCACCAUGCCUUUUUUAUUUGCAAUUUUGUCUUCAUGGAUAAUUUAUAAAAUACAAGUGUUUUUAUUGUUUUGUUAAACAAAUCAAGAGAUUAGGAUGUACAUUAUUAAUUUGGAAGAAUGAUCCAAAUGCCUAGUUCGAACUUCCACAAGCUUUUUUUUUAACAUCCAUUCAUAUAUUGUCCAAACACCUACUAAAGAACUUCAAAAUUUUCAUUCGAAAAUUACAAAAAAUUGUACUUGGAAUAUUUGAAGUCCUUUGUUGCUAUGUUCAUCUUUUUACUUCACAAAAGAGGAGGGAAGAACUCAAAGUUUUCAUUCGAAAAUUACAAAAAAUUGCACUUGGACCAUAUUUGAAGUCCUUUGUUGCUAUGUUCACCUUUACUUCACAAAAGAGGAGGGAAGGAGGUGGUAUAGGGAAAGUUAAUACAAGUUUCAAAUUUACCUUAAGAUACACAGUUCCAUUUUUUUGUCUUCUGAAUCCCUCUUCCCUGCAUACUCCGGCACAUCUGGGGGGUGAUGAUCUCUACCAUCUUAGGCCCCCUCCUCCUCUGCAGUUGCCUCAUCAGCAGAAACCUCUUCCAAUCUCUCAAGGAAAUCUUUUUGGAUAGUUUCGUGGAUAGUAGAGGGAUUAAAACACAUGCCAUCACUUGACGCGGCUUCAAAUUUCAUCCACAGUUCUUUCUUCAAAGUGUUCUCACCAGGAUGCUUUCCCAUUACAAGAAUGCUCUUCGAUUCUGUCAUCAUGGGAGUUCUUUCAACUAUAUCUAAGUUGCCACCAGUUUCUGUUCCAAAAGAAAGAAAGAACAAUAAAUAUCAGAAUGGUCAUGUUAAUGAAAACCAAAUGGAAACAUCUUGAUUGCAUUCAGAAAAGAAAGAUCUUCAAUAUCGUGUAUAUUUUGGCAAGGGGUACUCACCAGCUGCAUUAGUCAAUGAUUCUUCCACAGGUAGCUCCAUCAGUACACAAGUUUUGGGUGGUGAAAAUAGAAAGUCUGGUGAUUCAUCAUCGGCCACCUUCCCUCCGUUUGUCAAGUUUUGACUUAAUUUGAUUCCAAAUAGUUCAGGAUACUUCAUUGUCAAAUGUUCAGCACCUUCGGAGCUGGAGGAUUCUGAAUCUUCAGACAUGCUAGAAAAAUGACGUGAAACAGGAAACGGUGUCAUUUUAUAAGCCCCAUGCUUGUCCCGACAGUUGUAUUCUGAUGAAGGUUCAAGCAGUACACACGUCUUCGGCGGUGACAUUUUCAAGCAUGGAGUCAUUACUAGCAACGAACUGUCAAUUUGUGAAAGUCUUACAGGCGAAAUAAGAUCUCUUUUCUGAGGGACCUCGUUGAUGGUCAUAUCAUGAGCAGAAACAUUAUUCAGAAUUGACUUCACUUCAUUAUUCACACGCAAUAUGUCCCUCUCCCUGGUUACAUCAGAAAGGGAUGGUGGUAUGUCCAUCUGCCCGGUUACAUCAGAAAGGGAUGGUGGUAUGUCCAUCUCCCCAGUUAUGUCAGAAAGGGAUGGUAGUUGACUAGCCAUAGAUUUUGUAUUCUCAAGCAAACAAUCUUCCAUAUCUCCCCUAAUAUCAAAAAGAGGACGUAGCUGGGCAUUCGUAGCUGAUGUGUAGUUGUCAAACGUUUUAGAAGAUCCUUGGCAUUUGGAUGAGAGUACUUUGCGAAGAGGUAAAGGUGUGAGCAGAAAAAGUUGUCUGCCACCCUCAGUCGUACAGCCUGCCCUCCAGGACACAAGGGGUGAUGGGGAAACUAGUGAAUCCCACUUGGAUUGGUCAGGGCUAUCAACAGCAUCGCUUGUAUUAUCAGCUACCACGGGAACUGCCUCACUAAUUUGUGACUGUUCAGAUGGAUGUUCGGGCCUCGUGGAUAGAUCAGAAAGGGCUUUCUGAAAUUUGGGAACCCAUGGCUGCAAUUUGCCAACAUAAAAUAUAUGUAAAAUACGGUGGAAUGGAAGACUCUAAUAUAGGAGCAGAGAAUAUGACACAAAAAGAGAACCUUCAAAGAAGCUUGCAUUUCAGACAAGACAUGUGUGAAAGAUUCGAUUUCCUUCCCACUCUUCUUGCCCCCUAGUUUGAGCACUUGAACAAGUUCAUCAAUCUGCAGUUGAUCAUGUAAAGAAAGAUGAGAUUAACCUCUUUAUGAAAACAUUGAAGUUGAUACAGGGAAAACAAACUUCAAAAGAUUGGUAUUGGUAUCUGAUACAGUUCGAGCAAGAUGUAAAUAUGCUCUUCUGAGUUUAAAGUAACUUGAGAAUACAAGAUGUAGUUUAUGUGAGAGUUACUGUGAUAAAUAUAUAGAUAUCUGGAUGCCUUGUCAUUAUUCAAAAUGCUUAUAUAUGUCAGGUAAAGACGACUGAAAGUAAAACUCCUAAUUCUCAGCAAUGUCAAAGGAGAUUGAGCGCAGGAUGAUGAUGGUUAUGGAAAAAGGGAUGAAAAAGGAAGCAGGAAGGUCCAACUUUUUCACAGAGAUCUUCAGUUCUGCUCCAUUUACCAGAGUAAUAGGGCCAACAACUGAUGCUCAUCAUCUUAUUCUGGGUAACCCUAUGAACUUCCUAAAGAACGUCAAUAACAAUUACAUUUCAAUUCCAAGCAAUUUGGGGUCGGCCACUUGAAUCCUCUAUUUUAAAUGUUAUCUACAUUUUGAAAUGGCAUAUAAGUCUCUAAUAAUACUCAAGGACUCCUACCAACUAUUGGAUCUUACGAAACAUACUAACAUGACUAUAACUUAAUUCCAACUAACUGGGACUGCCUAUGUAGAUUUAUGAAUUUCCUAAAGGACAUAAAGUCAAAAUAACACAGCCUUAUCCCAGUACCAAAAAAUUAGCUACAUAAUCCAUCUCUUCACAUGACGUUAUCUAGGAUUGGUUCGCAGCUAAGAAGCUACCUCUGCUCAGACGUACUGUUUCCAUUCAUUUGUAGACUCAUCACUCAUCUAUGGAAGCAGUAACAGCAGGCAGAGACACUCCACAGCCGAGUGCAAAGACAUCAAUUUCUAAUAACCAAUGUGAACUACUAGAUACUUCCUCCUCCUCCAACCCCAAACAAACCAAAUUAAAAAAAAUGCAGCAAAACCUGUUUUACAAGAAUAUAAAAAUUCACCGACAAUGCCAAAAUGAUCAAAAACUCUCUCAGUUGCACUGAGAAGUAUCCAAAAUGGUGUAAAAUUGUAACUGCACUCCUUAUAAUAAGUGACACCAAUAACCUCUGACAGUGCAACAAAGCAAUAUGCACUAAUAAGCAAACCAAUUAAUUAACUAUCCAGCGCUGAAAUCCUCAUUUGGUUGGCCAUAUAACAACAACAACAUACCCAGUGAAAUCCCCCAAGUGAGGUCGGAGGAAGGUAAAAUGUAUGCAGACCUUACGAGGCCAAUUCCAAAAAAACAGAUUGUUUAUAUAAAUCAUGUAAAUCCCCCAAUCUAUUUCAAUUUGCUGUGCCUGUAUAGGACUUCUACAUCCAUUCCACUCUAUUCGAAUCCAUUUCAUUCUAAUGCUAAAUAAUUUAUCUUCAAACACCGUCAUCGAAUACUUCUUCGAACUAUUUUUGAGCAAAAAUUACUCUUACCUGAUGAAUAACGGAGGAGAAGUCGGAGCGAAUGAGAAGGAGACGAUCCAUGACAUUUUCACCGGCAACUGAUUCGACGUCGUCGUUUUCCCUUCCGUAGAGCUUCUUGGAUUUGAACGAAGUUGCUAAUGGCUUUACCAUGUUUGAAUUAGAAACAUCUCGUAGUGGUUUUCUUGUGGAUUUGAAUCUAGCCGUAGAUUUUCCGGCGGUGUUCUUCAGAUUGUUCGUCGGCAUCUGGUUUGUGUGUUUCGCCCAACGGUCACUUCUUACUGUGUUCUAUGAGUUUGAAUUGAAUUAUUUUCGGGCGUUGAGAUAAUAUGGAUCGGUUUUGUCUAGGUAGUACCACUUAUUGGGCGGGCCUAAUAUGAAGAGUCUUGUAUCGAAUUUUCAAAGAAACAUCUUAAUUUUGUAGGUAUUCUAUUACCGUACGAAAACAUUAAAUAACUUUUAUAAAUAGAACAUUUUGAUUCGUUUUCUCCCUAUGGUUGUUUUCACGUAAAUAACACGCGUGAAUGAGAAACUUUGCUUUUAAAAAUGAAUUAGAAAGUGUUACAUGUCAAAUUUUUUCUCUUUUAUAUUUAAUUACUUCCUCCUAAAAUACACCAUUUUCUCCAAUUCUUUCAAAAGAGCCAUUGAUUUUUUUAAAAAAAAAUAUCAUCUUCUCUCUUGAACGAAAUUAACCUAAAAAAAAAAGAACUUUCUAACUUCCUGUUAAUUUUCAGUGUUCAAGGUUUAAUUUCUUCGAAGAAGGAACUAAAAUACCUCGAAGUAUUGAAAGUGGUACAAAAUCACCCCAUCACUAUUGGCUUUCAAAUACCCUUCUCAGCCACCUUUGGGUCCAAUUUUGACCACUUCUUUAACAUACUAUCAUUUAAAACAAUUUAACUAUUUAAUAUAAUUUAUAAACCCACCAAUUACCCACUCAUUAUUAACUAAACCCACCCUAUUUACAAUUACCCAUCUAUUAAAAAAAAUCUUCACCCUUCGUUCUCAAUUUAUCCAACAUUUUUUUUCUUUAAAACAAUUUUCUUCCUAGGUUUAAAAGAUUAGUUUUCAACAUCUUCUCAUUUUCAUUGUUUUUUUUAAUUAAAAUGUCAGUUUCUUCAAUUCCGUACAUGUAAGUGUGAAUUUAUGGCAAGACAUUUUACUGCUAUAAUUGUUGAGAAUGGUGUAUGUUGUGCCGUAAUUUUCCUAUCUUUAGAAAAAUCACUUUUUUUUGAAAUGUUCUACGUAUAAAACAGUUUGGGAAAAAUACUUAGAAAGAGUCGCCACUUAAUUUUUUAAAGAAAUCAAGAAAACUUAUAAUUUUCAAAGAUUUAAACAGAAAAAAUCAUUUGAGAAUACCAAAAAGGGUUCGGGGUUCAAUUUACACUUCGAGAAGGGUUUAAGCAUUCGAAGUGUCCGCUAACAUGCGGUUGACCUGCGACUUGACUAAAAUAUAUUUGACUAUUUUUAGAAAGAAAAAAAAUAAAAAUAAAAUAAUUUAACAUAAAAAAUAAUAACUUAUAAUAUAUUUGAUUAAGAAAAUAAUUAAAUAAAUGACGCAUUUUAUUUUCAUUUUAUUUUUUAGAGGAAGGGAUCCAAAAUGAUACAUUUGACUCGAAAUACAAGUGAUUGGAAUAUUAAUAAAACUAGAUUAAUUAGAAUUUAUUUAAUUCAUUUUAAACCAAUUUAAUAAAUUAAAACAUGAAAAUCAUUUCUUAUUAAUUGACUAACCCUUUUUUUUUUUUUUUGAGAAAAUGACUUAAGUAAGUAUAUAUAUAUUUUUAUUAUUAUUAUUAUUGUUAAUCAAUUGAAAAAGUUCUGACCAACAUUUUUUAAAGUUUAUUAAAGAAAUACUUUAACUUAGAACAAUUUUGAAAUGAGUGAAAAAAAAGUGAUUUAAAUGAAGAAAACCCUUAAAGAACAUAUCUUUUAAAAAAAAAUUAGGAAAAUGAUUUAACAUAAGAAUAUAUGAUAUUUUACGAUAUUCGAUUAACUUUGAUAAAAAUAGUUAAAUAAAGAAUAAAUUUUUUAAAUUUUUUAGAAAAUAGGAUCUUAAUUGAAACAACUUGAUCAAUUAGGAUUUUAACAAAAUUAGAUUAAUUAAAAUUUAUUUACGUCAUUUUUUAGAAAUAAUAAUUCGAACCAACUUGGUAGACAAACCAAGAAAUUAUUUUAAUCUAAUUAAAAAUAAGUGAAAGUUUUGACAAAAAGUAUUUGAAUAAGCAUAAGAGUUGAUAAAAUGAAUUAUUUUUAAGGAAACUAACAUAAAGAAUAUGGUUUAUCUUUUGGGAAAUUAAAUUAAGUCGCAAUUUAAAAUAAAUAAAUAAAUAAAUAAUCACACAAUUAGGUAAAGGAGAAAUUGAAUUUGGGCCUCCUUUUUGGGCCAAAUUCGCUGCAAUUUCUGGGGAUUUUACUCAAUCCCGUUUUUGGUAUACAUCAGCUGUAUAUCGGUGUAUAUUGAUCAUUUCUUAGCCCUUUUCAUGUAGUUUUUGCUUCCGGACACCUGUACACCUGCUCUCGACGGCCUGGCCGACUCAAAUGACAAGGAAAAGAGCCUUUGUGGCUCGACUCGGAAAUGCAAAGAAGAGAAGUCCACCAUGGACUCGGUAGGGAUAUUUCACAUGAAAAGAACACAUGGAUAAAAGUUAGCAUCUACUCACAAGGAUAAGACAAGCAAAAUAACCACACGAGAUUCGAUUGAUCUGAACUCGACCUUAAACGAAGUUCAAUUAACAAUGACUAAUAAGAACAAUUUUUAUAACACUCAAAGGUAAUGACAGUCAUGUAAAUUCAGAUUUAACAAGGUCAAAUUUUAAAGCAAAAAGAAAACCCAUUUACUAGUAAUUUGUGAACAAAUACAACUUUUCCGGGAAAACCCAUUUACUGCCUCAAAAACAUGUAAUGAUACUAAAGGAUGAGCCACCACAAGUACUGAAAUAAUUGUUCAUUCAAAUUAAAAUAAUCAAGUGAAGGUACAGUAGUAACUUAGCUAAGGUGAAGAGCAAACAAUGCCACAUAGUUAGCCAAUAAAACAUCACGUACUUUAGUCUAAUCAACUUUAUUUAAUGAAAUCUAACAAUGCAAAUUUACCAUGUCAAAAGGCUGAAUGUUGGAGGCUAAGCAAAUCCAAUCCUUUUAAACAAAGGAAGUGAAAACUAGUAGGGACUUUGCUGGAUCAUUUUAAAGGGAAAUGAAAUAUAACUGUAAGUAAAUAAAGCCAAGCUAGCCUAUUUCUCAAGCCAACAUGUUGCACACAAGCACAAGUAUACAUGAACAAAUACAUAAUGCAAAGAGAGGGCCAUGGAUGGACAGAGACGCCACGUAAAUGACUGAAAUAGGCGACAAGCUAAUAUCGGUACAGUCAUCUUCAGGUUUAGACAAAAGAUAAGAGAGCUACUACUAUUUUAACUAGCAACAACAUGCUGGAAAAUUAAUUACUGAACCUCGGAACAUCGAACAAUUAACAGAUACUUAUAAAACCCGAACCAAGUUGCGAUUUUCUAUUCUAAGGACGACAACCGACGUUUGAAUGCUUUUAAUUAAUCACUUAAGAUGGCCGAACGUGUUUGUUGGACAGACUAAACAGAGAUAAGCAAAGAGGGAGACAAAUAUCCAUUUUGAAUACAUUUCACAUUUUUUACAAGGAGCCGAUCGCAAAUGACAAAAUAAUUUUUUAAGCAGGAUCUGAACAAAACACAGACGAACCCGACUCAUACAAAAUUAGAACAUAUUCAAAUAAAACAAGACCCGCGAAACUCAUGCUAAAUCGACCCCUAAGACUUACAAUGGUCUAAGCAACAAAGAGGAGAAAACAACGCAUAUAUGUAUCAAUUUAUGAAAAAUCGAGAUCACCUAUAAAAGGUGAUUCUGAAUUUUGAGACUGAACCACAACUCUCAUAACUCAUCAAUCGAGAUAAUACCAAAAUAAGAAGACUCUAACAAGGAGAACAUUAACUCGGGAAAGGGGAAAAACACCAAACUUUCAGCGAAACAGAGGCAGACAAUAGCCCUGGACUCUUAAGAGAGUUUCAUUGCUGAUUCACAGCCAACAGGGGAUCGAAAAGCAUUUCAGAAUAAAAUGUUAACAUAUAAAUUGCUCACACAGCUGAGAGUCAAACGAGCAACACAUUGCGAGUGAAAUAGGUUCAAAGCGAAAUGAGUAUUACCUUAAAAAGGGCAGCGAACUAGGGUCGAGACGAGCUGGAACGAAGGGGCUUCCACCACCACACGAGGUUCCGACGAGCCUUGCUAGAAGUGAGUAGAAAAAAAAAUGUAUUGCUUAUCUUUUACAGCUAAUAACUCUUCUUGUAUAUAUAUUUUUUGCCUGAGUACAUAUGUUUCUCAAACUCUAUUCUCUCAUCGUUUUCCCCCCUUUUUCCCCCUUUCAUCCCUUGAACAUAGGGAACUAUUUAUAGGGAAAGUUGGGGCGAUUUUGGGGGAAAUCCGUUGGAUUUUGAAAGAAAAAUUUGAAAUUUUUGUUGCUCCUUUCCGAGACCAACAGUAAAAGGCAUGGGGAGUCUUUCUCUGCUCUGAGACUCUGUGAAAAGGGGGAAAAGGAGACGUGAAGGUGAUGGAUUAGGUUGCUAGGGUUAUGGGUGACGAGAUUUCCGGAUUUGGCUGGAUUUUUCUGGGUUGCGUCUGGAUUUCUGCGUGAAGAAGACGGUAUGGGCAGUGGGGUCGUUUUGGUGCUGCUGUAUGUAUUGUUUGCUGGAGAAUGAUUUUGCUAAUGGGUUUCUUUGGCAUUGACAAUGGGUUGGGCCGGGUCAGAGGG
rnacentral:lncRNA from 1 species